GUUUGAGAGGUGGUUUGAUAGGUUAAGAGCUUUCUCAAACAAAUAGCAAAAGUUUGAAUUUUACCACUCCACCCACCACUCUUUGCUCCCCUGGUUUUCACGACAACCGGCCGGUUUGAUCUCGUUCUCACCAUGCCAGUUGCAUUUUCCGAUCCUACCACAAAAGUCAAACCGGUCAGGAAGCCAGUUCACCAGUUUUCGGUCCGACCAGCCGUUCAAUCUGGUCUGAUUUUAACAAUUUCCAAGCAUGGUUGCAAAAUAAAAAGAUAACUUAACAAGCAAGAAUGGAUUCCAGACAUGGUUACAAGAGACUGGCGAUGUUAAGGGGAAAGGAAUUACACCCAAUCUCCAUAAAGGGGAAACGAAUGCAAUCGGCUUCUUAACACGAUUUUAAAGUACUUAAUUUAGAUAUUCUCAUGAGGUUGCUCACCGAUCUGUGCCCUAGAUCAAAUCAGCAACAGCAACGAGUUAGAGAUUGAGAUCUCCAGGACCUAAAUCCAUAACGCCUUGCAGAAAGGCCAACAACUGAAGAAGGUAUCAUAAUAAAAGUGUUUUCAAGGUGAAUACACAUAUUUACAACUGCAAAGAGUGGCAGUCAACGAUAAUAUGUACAUACAACUGAUACAUAGACAAGUAGUUCAUAUCUUACUCUUAAGAAACCAGAAAGGGAAACUGGAAAUAUAAUUUGAAGCAAGUCAAGAAGCAAGCCUUCAAGCAAUGUCUGAUGCAAGCUGUUCAGACGUAACCACAGGUUAUCAGCUGUACACCUCAGUCUUAUCAUCAAAAAAGUACCCAGUCAUCAUCAAGAGAUGCCUUGUGAUUGUCACUAACAUAUCCUUCUAGAAGCUGGUUUUCGGAUGAUUUUUCAUUAAUUCUUGGGCUUUCUCUAUCUAGAGGAUGAAGAACUUGGUCAGCGAAUAACUUUUUAUUAUAUAACGAGCUGCCUGAGGAGGUCGAGCUGCAAGUCAGCAAUGUCCUUGUUCCGUCGAGUGGAGCAUGUCCAUCAACUCUUUCUUUGAGCAACAGCACAUCCUCACAGAUAACGGUUAUCUCUCCUCUGCAAAGUGAUGUUCUAAUUAGUUAAGUUUCUGCUCAUCCAUAUUUGUUCUAAUAUUCUUAAUUACAUGAGAUAUAUUUUAUUCAUUUGAAACAACUUAGGAUAUAUUGUUCGCUGGAAAUAAAAGAAUGCACAAUGUGGACUUCAACUUUUCCAGAUUUAUACUCAUAGUAAAUUUACAGUCAAGAUUAUUGUUUCCAUAUAAAAAGCACUUGAAAAGUUAAACCACGAAUGCAUGCAAUAAUCACUACACAAGAAAGUCAUACUGCAGACAAAAUUUUGGAAAAUAGAAGCUUGCAUACCAUUGGAGUUUGCAAACAAAUUCAAAGUUAAAUUAACUAAGCAUGUGGAAACUUACUGCAAGACGUCAACAAUGCGGCCACGAUCCAUUAAGAACUCCCUCAACUGCAACAUAGUAAGCAGAAGAUUAUAAAGCUGCUGACUAGCAUUUCAUUCUUAAUGCAGGUGGGGUGUUCAUAGCACAAAUAUAUACCAACUUUUCUUUUUUAAAUUAUAUAUUAGAGCAUGGCAUGUACAAUGCAUGUUGCCAUGGAAGCAUGAAGAAGGGAACUUCGUGAGAGCUCCACUCCAGAGUUUGGGUUAUAUAGUAGAAUUAAUAAAUGGUUACCUUGGAGUUCUCCUCCAUUUCCUGUUGGAGUCUUCUAGACUCAUGCUCUACGGUCACCAUGAUAGCCUCCUGCCCGUCAAGAACCCUGUGAGCCAAUUCUUCCUUUUCAAGCUUUUCCUGCUCAGCUCUUGCCCGUGCUUCCUCUGCAGCAGCUAAUCGUGUUUCAAGACUUUGGUGAAUCUAGCAAGAAAGAAGCUGAGGUCAGGAGCAGAAAACACAAACCACAGUCAAAAUAUUCAGCAUUUCACACUAUCUACUGGCUGCCUACAACUUAUAAAGCAUGGAACCCGUUCUGUUAAAAUACCUGAUAUUGGUUUUCCAUAACCACAGUAGGGACAAUUAAGGGGUUGAAACCAAAAUCUGUAAAGGAAUACAAUUAACUUGUGCAUUCAUGUUUGUGAACUUUUGGCGAAUACCUGUCUUUUUCUAAAUUUUGAAUCUAUGACGACGGCUGAAUUGUUAGCAAAGACAAUUUUAAAGAAAAGAGGUAUAAAAAAGAUCAAUUUCGUGGAAGUUGAAUUCUCUAAAACAACUCAGAACCAAGGGAUGGGAAGACCUGGCAAAUGGGGGAGAGAGGAGUUCAUGGCAAAGGAAGAUGGUGUUAAGGGUUCCUUGAGUGCCAGCACUGCCCUGUAGUUGGACAACUGCAUGGAAACUCUAGUCAAGGGGAGCUUUGAUCAUGCAUGUACGCAUGUUAGAAUUUAUCCAUGUAAUGUGGCCUAAAUAAUCACUUGUAGAUAGAAGGUGUGGCUCCAUGUUUUGUUUUAAUAAACCUGGACUCCCACAUAAGGUUAGCCUAGUCAGUUAAGUUGCCUAUUCCAAUUACUUGGGAGAUGAAAUGAAAGUCCUACCUAGACUAAGGAUCUUGAAGGUUUAUGAAACCAGCAACUAGAUAUAUGAGGGUUCCGGUCCCUCUCUCUAACUCAUAUCAAGAUACGCCCACAAAGUUUCCCACCAAUACUCUACAUGGAGAGUGAGGUGAGAGAAGACCGGUAUGCUUAGUGAUUUCCAGUAGAUUGUUCUCCAGUUUGGCUUCGAUUAGAGGAGUAUUACGGCUAUUGUCAAUGUAAGGUAUGCAAUCCAACCCUAAUACUGAUUGUGAUUUUCCUUGAUCAUGAGAACAAUGAUCCUAUGCAUUAUUGUACAUAUGCUUAUAUGUAAGACCAGAAAACCAUGGUUCGUGUUCUAUGAUAAAGCAAAUCAUGGCAAGAUCAAGCGAAAGUUGUUGAAAGCCGAGAGAAAAAGUGGAAGUGAAAUUUUAGAUUAAAAUAUUUUUUUGGGUCAAAUCCCAUUGAAUUUUCGAUUAAAGGAUUUCUCUUAAAUCUAAAAUUAAUAUAUAAUGGUUUCAUACUGAUUUUUGGAAUUAAAAAAGGGGUAAAUCAGGGGUUUUAGUUUUCUCAUGAUUAGAUGGUGCUCUUGCUACUAGUGAGAUUAUAAAAAAAAAGGGUCCUCUUUCUUAACAGAAAUUUUAACAUUGGAAAGAGAUUUGUGUUCAUGAACAUCAUCACUGGAUUCAAGUACUACCAACAUCACGGUGGUGACCACAUCAUAGAUUGGUCGCUGGAUCAUAUCAUAGCAAGGUAAAAGUAUAAUUCUUCUAUGAAAGAAAGAUUAAAAACCCUUACAAGUGACCACCAGCCUGACUGUGCCAGACCAGACACCAGCUGGUAUAUCGACAACAAGGUGGCUGACUGGUGGGUACCCUUUGGCUGUCCAUCUCUAUGGUCGACCACACUACUGGCCACUAUCCCUUUCAACUUGAGUUCCCACACUCAUGAUCAGCUGCUGGCGUCAAGAUGCCUGUCAGUUUUUCCCAAUAGUUGGAUGGCCGAUGGGUGGUUGCCCAGCGUCGACUACAACAUGGCCAUGGGAGGGUCAGCCAUGGUUAAUCAUGGCUGUUCUUCUUUCCUUCCCUGGUUUGAAUAAGAAAAGGAGAAGGCAUACUAGGUCAAGCCUAUGGUUCAGGUCGGUUUUGGAUCUCGGCUCAGAUCUAAACCUUAUUCACCAAACAAAGGAUUGUGGGCUGGUUUGUUUUGGGCUUGAUGGGUAGGCUAGGUUGAUUGCAUUGGGCUUUGGUGUAAUUCAAUCAAUGAAUAUUAUUUAGGAACCAGAAUUAAUCUUAGUCCAUGAAAAUAAUGGCUUAAUAUCACACGUUAGUUAUAAUCACAGUUUUCCAUCCAAAUUUCAUGAAAAUUGGAUCUAGCUUGAGCAAUUAGGCUCAGAAUAGGAUGAAGAACCUUGACGAUUAGUUCUAAAUAACUGCUAAACUUGUAAAAAUGGUAUAUUGUUAUUUUAUUUACUAUAAAUUAUUUAUUUUUGUAAUUUCAUUCAUCAUCAGAAAAUUCUGACAUUUUUCGCAUAGCCAUAAAGGGCCUAAAGCAUGUUAGGGGCUUUCAAAUAGCUGAACUUUUAAGAGAUUUUUGUUCUCUUCCAUUAUGGAUUUAAAUUGCAUAAAUGUGUGUUGGAUUGCAAUAAACCAAAAGGUAACCAAUCCAGUACAAGUAAAUGUUCAACUGUCUUGUCUUAUAUUGCAAAUUAUAAAGAAAUUUAGUUUCUUUCUCAUCUUGGUUAUUUAUUGCAUUCAAGUUGUUGGAUUAUGACUUAAAUCCAUGAUAUUGCACCCGAAAUAUUAAAAGAAUUCAGGAACUGAACACUAAUGGUAUGAUAUGUGAUAUUUCAAAUCCUUAGUAAAUUUAUAUAUUUGAAACUUUAAAGAGAGCUCUGGAUGCAAGAGCGUUGAAUGCAUCUGCCACGCAACUUACAUGUGAAGCUAUAAUCCUUGUACAUCCAUAACCAGAAAAUUUUACUUUAAAAAUUUAAAAAGAACAAGCACUCAUUGCAUGGCAGAUAAAAACACGUAAAUGGGUAUAUAUAUUAAAUGUAUUUCCUUUUUCACCUCGUCAAGGAUUAAAAGAGAUUUGUUUCUUUCAUCUGACAUAUUGAUAAUCCGGGACUGAAGCUCCAGAAUUUCAGUUGUUAAUAUGGAUUUCUCAUGAUAAACUUCCCCGGCUCUCUGACAAAAUCAGAAAUAACAUCAGUUCCCUAUCAUGAAACUGAAAAAGAAACAAUAAAAAAACCAAGUGCACAACCUUGUCGUUUGAUUCCUUUGCAUGUUUCACCAUCUGUUUGAGGUCCUCCACCUUAGUAAGAAUAUCUUGACCGGCCAUGAUAACUUCUUCUUUAGCCUGUUUAGCUCUCUCCUCAUGAAGCUCUACUGCUUUUACCAUAUUAAUAACUGAUUCCAAGGCAGAUUCCAAUGUUUUCUGCACAAUUUUCAGUGAAGAAAUUAUAUCUACUUUGACAGUAACUAUAAAACAUAAGUUCUUAACCAAGUAGUGGAAAACCCUGCCCUAUGCUUGUUUCGAGGAGGCCUUAAACAAGCAAACUUCUUUGCAAUACUCAGGACUUGAAAGAAGCAAAAACAAAGACAGAUGCACACAAAAAAAAUCAUAUUAGAAGAUGGAAGUUAUAGCAUGCAGCUACCAAUAUGCAAAGCAGAAACAGUGUAUGAUCCAUAGUCAUUCAAAAGAAUAUAAAGUGGGUAAAGACAAUACAUACAGAACUUAAAAAUACAAAGCUACAUUUGGCAGAAACAAGAUUAUGAAAUAUCAUUCCCAGUUUGAUGGCUAAUCAGCAGAUGCAUAUCUAGAAACUAAACAGAUCGAUGGCUCCUUCCAGUGAUAAAGAAGAAGAAAAUUGAAAAAGAAACAAUUAUAAUUCAUAAUCAGUGUAAUCCGUGUCAGAUACAGAUAUAUAUGAGUAAUGAGUACAUACUGAUAUUCAGGGUGGUCUAGCUGUCAAGAGGAGCAGUUGUGAAGAGCCACUAUAAAAAGUAAAAAAAUAAAUGGCUAAAGUUAGGCAAUGGAGGCUGUUUGAGUUUUGAAUUUGGCCAUCGGAACCCAACUGGACAUAACAUUAUGUACUCAUGUCACAUAUAGAUGGAAUUAGUUUCAUAUUAUAUAUUUCCAUUAAAUUAAAUAUUUGUUUCACCACAUCUGAUUCAGUGAAUUACAACAACCAUUAUUACUUAAUUGGCUUAAAAGUUGCAUGUUCCAUCACCAGACUUUAUAUCGAGAUAAGGAAGUAGUCCUUUCGCCUUUCUAUUUUCUCUUUUUUUAUUCAAGAAUAAAUGCAAUCAAAUGGGGGAUAACUUUGCAAGAUGUGAAAUGGAAAAAAGGAUCUAUAAGGACGAACGAAAAGGGGAUGAAAUAUGAGAAAUGCACCUUCAUUUUUUAAACCUCACAACUUUGUGUGUAACAUAGGACGCCAAAAGUAAAUUGUGAGCAGUGUAUCUCCAUUUUCACAAUUAAUAUAUCCAAAUUUUUUCAAGCAUUUAAUCAUAAAAUUAAAUCCAACUUUCAAGUCUAGUUUUACGUGAAGUUAAAAAGAGCAAUGCCACCUUAAUUCUGUUUUCAGAAAUUAAACAAAACCAUGAGUUAAAAAAAAAAAAUUCAGAAAUUUUUUUCUCAUGCCACAUUCCCCUAUUCCUUCCCUUUUCCUCCUUCUAAUCCCUCUUCAAAUAAAAUUCUUAAUAUUCUUAAACUGAAAUAAGCAGAUCACUACUGCCUAUCACACUCUUUUGUAAUCUCUUAUCGCACAUGAAUCGGCACAUCAUCUUCUUUCAGAUAUAAAUGAAGAGCUUUGCCAUUUAGAGGGUACAGAAAAAAAUGAUAAAUAUAUUUCUAGACUACAUUUAUCUUCUAGAGUCUCAACCAAAAGCAAAAAAAAAGGUCUGGAAGAAAGAGAUUAUCCACAUGCCAAAGAUGACUUAUGAUGCUCUCCUCACCACAAUCAUCUUCUGGACAAAUAUCAUAAAUCAUACGAGUUACAUCUGAAUUUAGUUAAUAAAAUCUGAUGGUUUUGAAAAAAAAAUAUGCCCUAGGAUAGCUUAGUCCCUUUAGAUAAGUCUCCAGAAUGUCUAUGAAAGAUGAAAGGUCCAUCUUAAAGAAAAAUCAGAUAAAGACUCCACUCUGAGAAGCCUAUUCUAGACCUUUAAAUAAGGGUUCUUAUUCACUUGCUGGGUUUGAUCUCACUAUUACCUAUACUUACACUACAUCUAAAAAUCAAGGAAAACCAAACAUUAAUAUAAACCCUUGAUCUUAGCCUGCAGUUGCAAAAGGAUGGCUAGAACUAACCCUAUGUAGUGCUCCCAAAAACAUGUUAUAUGCACUGCAAAUUGAACUCACGAUUCUCGAAAAUAUCCUUCUUCCUUCAUUUUUAGAGUAUCUGCAACUAAUCUUUCAUUCUGGUUAUUCCAUACCAGGUAUCUAGUACAUAUUGAGAAUGAUGUUUACUUUCUAAGCUUAAGUUCCAUCUUUCCUUUAACAUCUAAAUAUGAUUCUUCAUACAAGAAGGAUAAAACUGUUAGGUAUAGUUUUGACAAGAGUGCAAUUCAGCUGUUUUAAAAUCACCCAUCAUUAGAAUGAGAAUAAGAUGACCACAGUACUAUAUGAUGCUAAAUGAAUGUGUGUUGUUGAAGGUCUAGGGAAAAAGAAGAUAUUAACUAAAUGCUAGAUUUAUCAAAAUACUAGCUUAUUUCACAUUAAAAGAAUUCACUGAUCAUAAAACAAAAAAACCUAAAUUGAAGUGAUGUAAAAAUGCACUAUAUUGCAUAAGUCAUACCUUGCUGUUUUCAGCAUCAAGGAUAGAAUCUUCAAGAAAAUUAAUAUUUACAACCUCGCCAGAUCGACCAGCUACCAUGGAAGAUUGACAAUUAUCACCUGAAGAAGCCAUCUUAUUCUCAAAGGCCAACAACUCAGCAUGCUUCACAGAGUCUGUACUGUUUUCAAGAUUACAUGAUGAGAUAUCACCAGACGGGGUAAAGGAAGUUACAACAGAGUCAUUAACUUCUAAAUCACAUAAAUCCUGGAUAUUUGCAGCCUCUGUCAAACAUCUCAAUAAUUGUUCUUUAUAUUCACCUUCAUGACCAUUCAUAUCCUUCUCUACAGCAGCACCAAGUUCCAUUAUAUCUGUACUGCCUACAAAGAUUGGGGUUGAAAAUUUCUGAGCUUGCAUACCAACACAUGUCACAGUACCAUUAGCCUCUGUCCCAUACAAUUCUUGGACAUUACCAUCGAGAGAAACACACUGAUUUUUUGCCAAUCCCUGACACGGUUCAACUAUUUGUUCUACCAGAUUGACUGCCUUUCUAUGUUCUGCAUUGGAGAGGUGAUCAUGGACAAGGAUAUUGGAAGGUGAAGUGUCCAUGACUAUUUCAUCCAAGGAGUGUGGCUUUGAAUCAAAAGCAUUAAUUGUAUGAUCAAAAAUAAGAUCUAUUGCAUCUUCCAUCAUUUUGGCUUGUGAUGAUGGACUCGCAGUAACAUCAACGGCUUCAUGUGGACAGGGAAACAAACCUGGCUCAUUUGGCCUUCCUACAUGCGAACCUUUGCUUACUGAUUUCUCCAUGCAUGAUGACUCAGCAUUAGCUGCUUGUGUGUAAUUAUCAGAAAUAGCACUUUCACAUACAACGAAUGGUUCCGGGAGCAGACUUGUAUUCUCUUUGUCUCCCUGAUGUCCCAACAAACUAUCCUGCUUGUUCAUUCCGGCUACACAUCCAACAUGUUAUCUAGUAUUAGCUACCAAAAAGAAAAAGCAAAAAUACAUUAUAUUGUAUGUGUUUGUCCUACAUAAGUGCAUAUGGAGCAAUAAAAAAAAUGCCAUAAUCAACAAGCUCAAAAGAUGAGUAGUUCCAAUAUAAUAUAUGACAUCAUCAAAGGAACACUUACCAUUGGCAAGUGAAUGUUCCAUGUCAUAAGCAUGAUCAAGUGUAUAAGAUGUUUCCCUUGUUUCACUUAUACAUGGUAAAACUUCCAAAAGAACAAAUUCAACAGCUGCAUCAACAUCCUUCGAAUAUUCAGUUGCAACAGCCUUUAGGAUACGAAGAUCUAUCUGCAGGAAGUCAUGAAAAAGAAUUGAUCAUUACUUGAAUUGUAAAUGCAACAAAUUUGUGAGCACGCAAAAAGAAUAAUACACCUUGCAUUUAUAUUUACUUAACAUAUAUUGGUUUAGAAUUAAUAAAUUCAAGAAGUUGAGAAGUUAACUGAAUUUCAGAACAAGCCUUGUACAACAACCAACCUACUUAAUUGAAUUACCAAAAAGUAAUUAUAAUGUAAAUACUCAAGUUAUUGUAUGAUGUUUGAACUUUGAAGUAUCUUAAGUGCAAAGUUAAUGUCAUAUCAUGUGAAAGACAACUUUUUACAUUUCAUUUCAGGUCCAAACUCACUUUUGUGCUCCAUUCAAAUAGCACAAACCUCAAGUAGCUAGUUUCAGAAAGACCGUUGUGGACUUACUGCAUGAUAAAUUAAACCAUCAAAACUAUCAUUAUUAGAUAUAGCUAUGCCUUUCUCUAAGGAAACCACUUCAGUAAUGUACUGCAUAGUUUUCUCUAGUUACCGUGGCUAGUCACCACAAUUCAUUUAAAAGAGAACCUGCAUAACAUCCUGACUAAACCCUUUGGUUAGGAGAAAAAGAGAGCCAAUGGCAGGAGGGAGGGUGUGUGUGUGUGUGUCUAUAUAUAUCUCUUAUGGCCACAAUAACCUUAAGUAUGCGCUGCCACUUACAGGUUGUUACGAUAUGGUUGGUUAUAAAUGUAUGUGGUAAAAGCCCCGAAAUACAUGAGAAAAGAAAAUAAUAAACUUCAAAAGACAAUUUACUAGUAGCUUUUAACAAAGCACAGAUUGAGAGAGAGAGGGAGGGCUCGCUGGUUCUUCCACAUAAAAUUUUCAAUUUGUGAUAAUACACACAGAGAAAAUCUAGAAGAUGCAAUAAGAUUAUCCCUUUGUAAACUUGUUAGGAAAGCUUCUUCCAUGUUCAUUGAUUUUCUUUCUAGAAUAUGGCACAAAAAGAACUUAGUUUUCCUGAGUUUGAGUUUUGGGGGCUGUACGUAUUAUAGUUAUACCAAAAGGGCAUGGUAUAUUUUCCAGGCAUCUGCUAUCAAAGGCUGACCAUGAUGCAAACCCUGUGGAUUGUGGAACAGCACGCAACAGCCUUUCGAAUUAAAACCUCAUGAGUGGCAACUAGGGCACACCAAUUCACUUGGGGGCUGCUUGAUGGUGCUCCACAGCCCACAUGUUAUGCGAAAAGCAGCUGCAAUCAUUGGCGCCCACAUGUUAAACCUUAAAAUAGCUGCUAGCUAAACAUUUUAUCCGUCUAUCUAUACAUUAAAAUAUUAAAUCCAAACUUCCAAAUCUGUCUGUGAAGCUCUGUGUUGCACAGUUAUUCAUCUGCACACUGCCAAUAACUACAAAUAUCUUAAAUUAAUAUACCCCACUUAGCUCAGUCUUUACUUCGCGGGAGAGAAACAAGAGGAGUGCAUGUAUUCAUCAAAUUGAAAGAAUAACAUAAGAAAAUAUUCAACUAGUCUGGAGCAUGACAUACAUCCAUACCAUCUAGUCAUAUGAACAUGCAUGCUAGACUCUUGUUGAGAGAAAGGCCCGCUAAAGAAGUUUCCAUAAAGUAUUGAAGGAAAUCAGUCAUUCAAGUUACUUCUACAAGUCUACAAGUCAUGCAUGGGCAGGAUCCUGAAACAUUUACAAAUGCCCUAGUUUAAAAGGCCUUCAUUUUUAAUCAGUUGAUACUUGAUAGUGAUGAGUGCAUCAUAAGCAAAUUGUUUGGAGACCCAUCAGGUAUGGAACGUGUUGCAAGGGACCUAGAGACAGUAUUAUCAUAGACUUUGGAACAGUCUGCAAGCAUGGGUUCUGUAUGUUUAAAAUCAGAGCUUCAUAGAAAGGGAAAGACAAUAUUCGGGUCCUUCCAGGCAAGAACUAUGAUUUGAGGUUAGCUAAUUGCACAAAUAUUUCAUUAUCAACAUAUCAAAAUUCAAGAUUAACAUUUGUGAUCUUUUCUGGCAGACAAAUAUGACUGCCUUGUUCAAGUUGUGUGUCAAUGAUAAACAGUAGUAAAGCUCAGGCUGACAAACACACACACACACACACACACAUAUGCCUAGUUAAUUGUUGUGGUUGAUCAUAAGCACCAUUAGGCUUAAGUUUAUGUGACUUGUUAGCAUAUCUCCUAAAGAUACAGAAAAUUCCUAGUAGAAAGAUAAGAAAAAACAUAAAUUCCUACAAAUAAGAACAAAAUUAUGUUAGCAUAGAUUAGAAGGCUACUUGCAAGAAAAACUCAAUACACAGCCGGUCAUCCUCACCUUGAAGAAAUCAUUUUUUUGUUUUUUACUUUACUUACUGAAUUCCAUUCCACAAUCAAAAUCAGUGACUGCGAUUAUAAGGCGAUUUCUUACUUGGGGGAAAACCUCCUGCAAGGAAUAAAAGACUGACUUGCAAGUCAUCUUCUCGGAGCUCUUAAUCUGCGAAAACAUCAAAAAAAAAAAAAAGAGGUGGGGGUGUCAAAUCUUAAAUGGAGCGUAACAUCAUCUACCUGCCAAAUUUCCAGUUUUCCACCACAAAGAAACCUAACAAGAUCGAAAGAAUUAACCACAAAAAACACAAAAAUAAGGCAAAAAAAAAUUACAUUAAUAAAGCCUUGAAGACAAAAGAAAACAAAGAACGGAAAGAAAAAGAACACGCGAACUGAUCCCGAUGGAGAUCGGAAGCUUCAAGAAGAGGAUAAACAGUGGGAAUAACUGGGAAAGGGCAAGCGCCUGACCUCAGCUAAGUAGCUGAUAGUAUAGACGCGGGUUGGAGCCGAGGAAGAAAAAGAGGAAGCGUGAGAGACGGAGUAUCAGGGUUGAAGCUUCUUUGAAGGGGCAGAGAGAAAUCACUCGAGAGUUUUUCUGUGCCACGUGUCAUGAGGCUAUUUGUACAGCUCUCCAGAUUUGUUGCCAAACAGCGCCCGGUAAAAGAAAUUAUAUCCUGCACGGCCAAGCACGGCCCUCGUUUCUGUGCGUAAGUUUUUUUUGAGUCAGUGCGUAAAUUUUCCUCCUUGCGAUAUUGAAAAUUUACAGAGAGUAACUUGCGUUGCCCUUCUUUUUCCUUGAAAAAACCAAGCGCCCGUUUGGUUCGCGGAAAAAGAAGAAAAAAAAAAAUAUAGGCAACAAAAAAAUAAUAAAAUACUUCUUAUUUAAUUAAAAUUUUUAAAAAAGAGAUAGAAAAGUUGUAUUCUCAUUGGAAUAUGAUUCCCAUAUUUUAUGGAAAAAUCUUUCCCAUGAAAAACAUGAAAAAGUAACUUUUCUAUGAGGCAGAAAUCACUCUAUUUUUAUUUUUUCCCAAAAAGAUCAUUCAGCAUUAAAGAAACAUUAAAGAGGUAUUAAAGACCUAAUUUUUAUUAAAAGUAUUGUACGAAUUAUACAUAACUUUCCGAGGAAAGUGGAUGGCCAACCAAACACUUUGAAAAAUUGUCACUUUCCCAUGGUCAACCAAACAUGCCAAAAGUAUUUUCCUAGGCAUCAUCUUUUUAGGAAUUUGUUUCCCAGGAAUCAUAUUCCUAUGAGGAAAAAUGCUUCCCGCGAACCAAACGAGCCCUAAGUGGGUUCCAUGAUUACUUGGAUGGAAAAGGAAUUCAAGAGUUAAUACAAAGGCAGGAGCCCCACCCUCUGAUUUUUCCAAGAUGAACUUUGACGGUUGCAUUAGGGCGGGUGGUUGCAGUAGCGCUGGGUUUGUCAUCAGAAAUCAACAGGCCAGACUAGCGGCGGCUGAGGGGUGGCGUAUUUUUGACCAGACCCCUGUCAGGGCCGAGGUUAGGGGCGCUUGGGAGGGUGUUUUCUAUGCGAAACAGGUGUUGGGUGUGGAUUAUAUCAUUCUUGAGGAAGAUAUUGCUACGGUGAUCGAGGAGAUCCCGAGCUCUGGGUAGUCUGAUGGGAGCAUGCGGUUGAUUCAGGAUACUCGCCGCUUUUUGGACGACUGUAUUCUAUUCCGGGCUACUCAUAUGUACAGAGAGACCAAUAGUGCUGUGGACUAGGUGGCUUUCUAUGUAGCCCAAUAUUCCGAAAAUGUUAUUUGUGACGGACGUGGCUCAGUCCCAAAUUUUUUUGUAGUUUUUGUUUUUUUCUAACUUUUUGGGCUAUGCUCGCGCCAAUGAAAAAAAAAAGAAAAAAAGCAAGAAAAGAUGGCUAAAAAAAAUCUUAAAAGCCAUUUAUUUGCUUAUAAUUUUAUUGUAUACAAUUCAAAUGAGGACUAUAACUGCAUCUGCUACAAUUAUUAAAAUUAUAGUUACAAAAGCUAUUUCUAUUUAAUUAUUUGUAAUAAAGAUCAGCAAUGCAAAGUACGGUAUACUUUGUACAUGGUUGCCAUGUAGGGGUUUAUUGCCAAUAAAUAAUGAAUCAUUAAUUUUGUAACUUGCAAGAAUUUUAUGGUGAAUAUUAAUUUUAUAAUGAAUACAUAAAAUAGAAUAAGAACCUCAUUUUUAUUAGUCAUAAAUCUUUAGAGCCUUUGAAGUCUGGAUCUAGAUAUUGGGAUAUUUAAAGACUAACUAAGAAUAUUCACUUUCAUUAUGCACUACAUCUUGAUUAUUUAUAUAAUAAUAAUAUAAAAUAAUAUUGUUAUUAAAUUAUUAUUUAAUUAUUUUUAGCUAUUAAUAUAGUACUUAUAUUAUUUUAAAAUAAUUCAAUAAAAAUAUAAUUAGAUAUAUUAUUAUUAACACAAUUUGAUUAUUAUUAUAUCAUGUAUAAAUUUCAGUAAGAGUCAAUAUGAUACAAUAAUAAUAAUAACAAUAAUAAUAGCAGCGACGACAGUAAUAGUGGUGAUAAUAAUAAUAAAUAUUUAUAUUAUUAAUUAUUAUUAUUAUAGUAAUGAUUAUUACAGUAAUAUAGCAUUUUGAUUAUUGUAUAGUAAUUGCCAUAUUAUUACUAUAAUUAUAAAAUAUAUUUUUAUUAUUAAUUUAUUAUUGGAGUAUUAUAAAAAAAUUGUAUAGUAAUUAUAUCACCACAAAAUAAAUUGAUUCUAUAAUGCUUAGAUAUACUCUUAUUAUCAAAUUUGCAUAAAUUGCAAAUAAUAAUAAAUCAAUCAUUGAUACAAAAUUAAGAAAAAUAAAAUAGACUUGUUGGAAUGGCAAAGCUUUAUUCAUCGUCAUUUUUUUGAUAAAGAAUAAGAUCCUAUAAAUAGGCUUUACAUCAGAAUGAUUCACCUGGUACUAACCAUAACUCCUAUAAAAUAGGACCACAAAUAAAGUACUUUCUCAGCCACGAAAUCAAAUAAUCAAAUACCUAAAGAUUUAGACAAAGCUACCAUUGACUAGAGCUUUUAAUUAAUAAAUAUGAAAUAAAACAUUUAAAUUUUAACAAUCACUAGUAUGAUUUGCAUUAUAACGUGCGUAGGUAAUAAAGCAGAUACAUAUAAAUUCGAAGAAAAAUAUUACGCGGCUCGCAAGAAGAGUUCUCUUCGCAGGCCAAGAGCCGGUCUCAGGGGUAUAGUUGAAUGCCGGCUAGCGCAUACGGAGAAAACGGACAUUCCAAAGCAAUUUAAGUUAAAAAUAUUAAUAGCUCUAUAAUCGUCAGCCGAUUGGAUCACAGCCAUCCAUUUGAUAUUCUCUCAUGCUGCACGGACACCCUGAAAAAUAUCUCCUCUCCGAUCCAACGCCCCUCGCCCCCCAUCCAAAAACCUAAAAAAAAGAAAGAAAAAAAUAUAAUUCCUACUUCUCCCCAUCGCAUGGGCGGGGAAGCAGGAGCAGCCGAUCGCUCGCCAUGAAUCCCUCGAUCCCGGCUCCCGCCGCCUCCUCCUCCUCCUCCUCCUCCUCCUCUUCCUCCUGGCUUGCCGGUCUCGUCCGCAGCGGCUCCCUCAAAUCCGCCGCCGUUUCUGGCGGCGGCGCCUCCUCCAUCCCCGCCGCUGCCAACGGCCUCGGCCCCGGCUCCCGCAAGAACCAGCUCCACGGCGUUCUCUUUAAGUACGGCCCCAAGCCUGUCCAGGUAAAAAGCAAAAACGGAAAAAAAUUAGGAAAAAGUUAACUUCUUGUUUUUUUUAACAGAACUCUGUAGUAGAAUAUGCUGAUUCGAGCUCUUUAUAGCUUUUCUUGAUGGUAAAUAUAUGGUUCUUGAUCAUAUGUUUGUAAGUGGGGCUGUUCUUUGAUGGAUGGGAGGUUAGGGUUUGUCUUUGUCUCCGUGGUUAAUUUUGGCAUGUAUGCAUUCGCUAGAUUUUAUUUGGUAUUUAUCAAUUGCGUGGUUUUGAUUCUUUGCCAAACUGCAGCAUGGUGAGUGUUGUUGGUUUGCUGAUGUAUGGGGUACCGGUAAGGUAGCAUAUGGGCCCCUUGUUUGGGACCGUAAACAAAAUUCCUGAUGUCAGAAAAAAUUCGAUAAAGUAAUCAUUUCUUACCGAUGGUUAUUUUGUUAAAUAUCUUCUUGAUUGUGUCGUGAUGCUGGCUGUGCUUCUUCUGUCAAGGUGAUGUCUCAAAGGUUGAGUGGCAACUGCUCCAUGUUUGCUGUUGGGGAUCUUGUCAUUGUUGUACUUGGUACACGCAAUGUUCCCAACUUACAUGUAUAAUUACUCGAGUCAAACGGAAGUUCUAGGAUUCUCGUCUUUUAGGAAAGCUGGUUCAGAAAGUCCUGCCUUCUCAAUCUUUAUCAGGAAAAGACUAGUUUGCCAGUAUUUGUCCUUGCAAUUCCUACGUACAUAGGCACGUGGAUUUAUUGGAGAUGGUGCAGAGACUUAAGAUUGGGCAAAGAUGGCAUCAAGAAGAUAGUGGAUCGCAUAUGGUUGAUAAUGUCUCGAGGUUCUUGUAGGUUGUUGCUGCUUUACUGGAGGAGACUUUCUUUUGUUGCCGAGUCAUGCAUAAAUGAGUUUGGGAAUUUGAAUGAAGGUAGAAUGGGGAAGGCCUUUUUCUCUCCCUUUCUUUCUUCAUGACUGCAUCAGUAACAUACUUGAGGAGGCUGAUUGCUUAAGUUGUUUAUAAGUAGGGGAGAAUGGAUGGAGGAAUGAGAUUCAGUAAAAGAAAGCCUGGAUUUCUUGCCUUUUGUUUGGUGAGACAUGGUUUAUGCCCUUCUGUUUGAUUCUCCUAUAUCUCAAGUUCUAGGAAUCAGAAGGAUCUAACAGUUAGAUGUGCACAAGCAACUGUACCUUUUGUUAUUCUUAUUUCUCUUCUUUCUUAUCAGACUUCUCUCUAAUUGAUCCAUAAGCACAUCAUGUUGGGAGACCCUAUUUUAUUUUGUAUUACUUACAUAAUUGUUUUUGAACUUAUGUCUAGGUUGACAUAUGUUGUUGCUAGAGGGUGUACAAUCACAGUAUCUUAGUCAUUAUUUAUGUUUUUGUUAGAGGGUAUACAAUAGCAGUAUCUUAGUCAUUAUUGAUAUAGUUAUAAUUGGCAUAAGUUAGUAAUGAAAGUGUGCAAAUGCAUGGUUUUAGAGUUAUAUGAUCUUAGAUAAAUCUGCUCUAUUAUGUUGUGCUCUUCUAUUCUUUUCUUCCUCUUGUGAAUAUCACCAUCACUAUUAUGUACCUUUUUCUUUCUUACAUUAAAUCUCAAACUGAUCUGAUUGAUAAAACCUGAUUCGAUUUUACUACAAAUCUUUGAGGGCUAUUUCCUGUCUAUUCCAAGACUUGUUCGCAUGUCACUGUACAUUUUGUAAUCAAUAGCAACUAGGAACUCCAGACACUGCCCUCAUAUUCAUUUUAUAUUCAUUUUUAUUUUAUAUUAGUAUGUUCAAAUCCAUUCAUAAUGGAGAUCUGAUAAGCAAACUCUCUUUUUUUUAUUAUUAUAUAUAUAUAUAUCCUACUAACAUGAAGCUCGUUUUAUAAGAUUUGUAAUCCGAAAUCUGGAUUGCUUGUCUUUACUUUAUGCUAAUACCCUUAUUUUCUUGAACUUAUUCGUGCCCUUGGAUCUCAUACUCCUUAUUAGACUUAUGUAUAGGAUUCUGUAUUGACUUGGUUUAUGAGCUUUGGGCCUGAAAGAUGAACAUAUUUCCCUCAUCAAACCUUACCUUCUUCCAUCUCCAUUUGGACUCUUUUCUAGAUCUUGGAGAGUAGCUUCUUGGUUUGUGGCCGUAAAUUGCUUAAGCAGCAACACAUGUAGUAUGUUCUACUCGCGCACAAGCAUUCCAGGUCUUGUGGCAGGUACUUUUCCCUUUAUAGCUACCUCCUAUAGAACCUUGAUGACUAUCCAUAGAGCUGAUUUCAAAUAUAGAACCAAUUGUAGAAAAGAUCUCAAAACGUUACAUGCAUAUGUGAGGUUAUAUUUUCCCGUACAUGGUGCCAUCUGGAGAAGAAAAAGACACUCAAAUCUGGACACUGAUUUUAAGAUCUCUCCGACAUCUUAGGCGAUGGAAUCUUUUCUGUUAAGUUAACAUGGGGUUAACUAUUUUAAAUAUGGUCAGGAAAGGAAGUGGCUUAUUUUCCCUUCUGACAGGCGUUGAUAUUGUUUUGUGGCAGUGAAAAGCUCAUGGUUGAGACUUUCUACAGAACAAAUCUGAAUUUGACAUUUUAAUAUAGUUGCAGAUGACCUAUAUGUGCACUGCUAACACUAAUAUGCAGACACUAAUAUUUGGCCUUCAUGUUCUCCAAUAUUAUGCCAGUCAACUUGUUACCCUCCGAAUCAAGUGAUUUUGUUUCUGGGGACUGCAUCAAAGCAUUUGCAGAUGACUGAUUUCGUUUGUUAAUGAAGUCAAUGAUGUAGUGCACUGAGAUUUGUGAAUUUGCCCCAGUGCCUUGGGAAGGGCCAGCAUAUCUUUUCAUAAUGACCAUGGUUUCUUCUUUAUACACUAUAGCAUCUACAAUGGUGCCUUGUUCAAGAUAUAUAAUAUUUCCAAUACUUGGUUGUAUGAUAUUCUCAUUUUUCCCAUGGAAUAUUUUUUUUCUCACAGGUGGCAUUCAAAACUGGCGAUUUUAACCAACAAGUCAUUUUUAUUGGUGGAUUGACAGAAGGACUUUUGGCAACUGAGUAUAUCGACAUUCUUCUGAGACAUCUUUUCCUGUUUCAUUCAUUGUUUUCAUCAAUUAAUUUUUAUGUCUUAUAUACUGCCUGGCUAUCGUGUCGUUUUUAGUCUCUUAAAAAUAAUAUUAGUUUUUAAAACACAUAUUUGAUCCUAACAUGAAAUGCCACUAACUUAGAAUAUUCUUACUUAAAGCAAUCUAAACCAAAUAGGAUGAUGGCGUUUGGCCCUGGUUCAACAUGGUCUGAGAUGGGAUCAGGUAGUCCGGGGACUGUGUCCACCGUUGCUCGAUCCAGUUAUUAAUAUUUGUUUUUGCUUGGAUCCAACUUCUUAUUAAGUAAUUUGGUCAGUUGAGACUUUUCUUUUCGUAGUAAUCUAUAUUGAUAUUAUCAUUUUUUUUUGAAUAUUAGGCUGAUUUAUAUUUUGCACUGAUUGAACAUUGCUCAAUAGGGAAUGGGUCUAACCUGUGGAUUUGACAAAUACAUUCUGUACUGCUUUUGGGUUUGUACUUGGUGUAAUCUUGGUUGGCUUGCAUCUGUAAUGAGAAACGAGUGUUUUUGUUAUUUUGUCCCUUUCCAUACAGUAUCCAAUGACACUGUAAUGUUCUGAUAUACUCUCCUUAUUAGCUCUUACAAACUUUAUAGAUCAUGUCUCUGAUUGGUGGUCAUUUAUAAGCUUUUGCGGAUCUUAAAGUAUUCUCAUAUAUUAUGUGGAACAAGAAAAGGUUUUCUAGGUCCAGUUCCCCCAAUAAAGGCAUCCAAGAACAUGUUACUGCUAUAGUUGGUUACUAACAAUGCAUGAAUUUUACCACCUGACACUAGUGUCCUGUUAUUGUGUUUAAAUUUAAAUUGUAUUUUGAAUCAAAACUCUGGUAAUGUGACCUUCUUAUAAGCUGUAAGAAACUCAUCCAUUUAAAACAUUUUUAGUCAUUAAUAUUCUUAUUUAGUUCUUACCUCACUGAAAUCUGAAGUUCGUUCCCACAGUCAUGUUGAAUUGUGCAAGCUUGGGUAAAUUGGUUUUGGUCGACCUAAAACACUUCCUGAAAUUUAAAUUAUCACUUUUUCUAUAAAUAGAUUCGACUUUGGAUUUUGAUGAGGGGUUCCUGACUCUAAUGGUGUUAACUCUGCAAUAUUCCUAGAGAAAAUUUCCUAGAUUCAAUUUUUUCCUUGUUAUUAAUGGAUGAAAAUGCGUGUAAUAUAACUAUUUAUAGAUGUAAAUUCACACUAUGUUUUAUUGAUAUAAUUUCUUUCUAGUGUUCAGAAAUUUCGCUGUUUUGCAGGUAUUUGGAACCUUUGUCAAUUGCCUUGGAGAAUGAGAAAUGGUCCUUGGUGCAACCCUUACUUUCUUCAUCUUAUGUUGGAUAUGGCACUUCCAGCUUAGAAGAAGUAUGAUUUCUUAAAUUGGCUACUGGAUUACUGAUGCCAUCUAGAAUUAUUUUUUUUAACAUAACAUUUUCUUUAUUUAAUUAGACUAGUGAUAACUUCAAGAGCAAAGCUAAUAUUAUAUACUCCAUUGCACAAGUAUCUCGACUAUACCUUUUGCCAAGCAAGUCUGAAUAAGUUCUAUAAUUCCUACUUCUCCCCAUCGCAUGGGCGGGGAAGCAGGAGCAGCCGAUCGCUCGCCAUGAAUCCCUCGAUCCCGGCUCCCGCCGCCUCCUCCUCCUCCUCCUCCUCCUCCUCCUCUUCCUCCUGGCUUGCCGGUCUCGUCCGCAGCGGCUCCCUCAAAUCCGCCGCCGUUUCUGGCGGCGGCGCCUCCUCCAUCCCCGCCGCUGCCAACGGCCUCGGCCCCGGCUCCCGCAAGAACCAGCUCCACGGCGUUCUCUUUAAGUACGGCCCCAAGCCUGUCGCACAGUUGAAAGUUUUGUUUUAAAAAGUGGCAUCAUUUUGUACUAUAAUAUCUUACAUGACCAAAAACACUGGUCAGGCAUAUCAAAAAGUUGAUCGUAGCACAACGGAUUUAUACCAUGGUUGAUCUGCUACAGAUUGGCAAAAUAUUGAGAAAAUGAUGGUUAAAAACCAUGAAAGAUAGGAAAGUUAAACUGAACGGAGCACAUGAAUUGUGUGGUUGAUGUAGUCAGGAAAAAUUAGGGGAGGUAUAAGAAUUAUAUUAUAUUCCAUUUGUCAAAUCUGCUAAUUAUUUUUUGUUUUUUUGCUAAUUAUUACUUCAUGAUAAUUUAUAUCGAGCUAUAAAAUAUUUCAGAAUAUUUGAAAAUUCUGAAUAGUUCUAACAUAGAUGACUGUGCAUGUUUGACACACUAAAUCUGUUGGCACCAUUUUGUUAUUCCUAGUGAUCUCGAAGCUUUUUAAUCCAAAGAGAACUAAACUCAUGCAUGUCUGAGAAUAAAUCAUUGCUUUGAAAUGACAUAUUUCCUGAUGAUGAGAUUAGACUUAUUGCUAACAAUUGUUCAACAUAUUUUUGGAACAAAAUUGCAAAAGACACUAUCCUGUCAUUUAAAGUGUUGAAGACCCUCUCAAGGGCAUCCCGAGGAGCUUUUAAGUUAUUCGCUCAUUUUGGGUAUUCUUGGUAGAUGCUGUUGAGGAUCAAAAUGUUUAUUCGUUGAUGAUCUAUAUCUCCGGGAGGAUUUGCACUGAAAUAUUCAUAACUCCUAAAGACCUUCUUACUAAUUAACUUUAAACUUUGUUCUACUAAUAGAAAGCAAUCUCACUAAAUUCAUUGCACAGGAUCAAUACAAAUAUUAUGCAAGUAUGACAUAAUAAACUUUACCUCGUCAUGCCAUUUGGAUGCAGAAAUAAUAUUUGUAAUAAUUAAGAGGUUCUUAUCUUGUGCUUGAUUUAUGAAUUUAGACUUUAGAGGUCCAAGGAAGUGAAGUUUCUAAGAUGGUUUUCUUGGUUUGGAAGCUUGUGAUGCAAUUAAGUUGGCAGGAGUUAUGCUGCAAGUGCAGCAUUCAUAGUCUAAGAAAAGCUUCUGGAAGCAAUGGUUGCAAUAAGCAGCAGCAAGAAGGAAGCUGCUGUUGGAGUGAUUUUAAAGAGUUUUAAAAUUAAUUCCUGUUCAUACCAACCGUUGUCUAGGAGAAUAUCUUAAUGUUGCAGCACUGUGAAGUGCUUAAUGCUGAAGAUGCUCUAUUAUUAAUUUGUAGUAAGAGUGAUAUCGGGCAGAAUACUUGUGUUAGUAGGCAUCCAGGUGGCAAAGAUGUUUUCUUUUCGCUAGUGGGUUGUAGGGAAGCUUUAGUUUUUUGAGUAAAAAUUAGAAUAAUAAAUAAUUUGAUAGAAGAGUUAAAAGUAAAAUAUAAUUAAUUUAAUUUUCAAUCAGAGGUCUGGGUAUGUUUAGGAUUUCACUUUCCUAUUGAAUUAAGUUUGAUUCAAAGAGCAUGGUCAGGUUGCAAAGAGUGGAGACUUGAUAUUUUAGUCAUUCAAUUCAGUGAAGAUUAAAUUUUUUGGAUCUUUUCCCAUCUAAACAAUUAGGAGCCCAUCAUGUUCCGUUCCCUUUAUUCAAAUACCUCCUAUUAUCUAGUACCUUUCCGUCUUUUAUAUCACUUUAUAUCUAUUUGGCAUUACAUCCAAUCAUUCAAAUCACCGGUACUGAAGUCCAUACUGAUAUUUCAUUGGGUUGAUACGAUAUCGGGACUAUAUAGUUCUGAGUCACCUGACUCUUGGGAAAAUUCUGUGUCUCAGUAUCGUGCUGAGACCCUUUUUCUGUGGUUUUAUUAUUUUUUAAAAUUUUAAUUUUAAGUAAAUUUUUAGUGAAUAUUUUUUAUUUUUUCAUGCUUAAAUGAAUUUUGAGGUGGUUCAACAUAUGUAUGGUGCCAAUAUUGGUACCAGCACCCACUACCUUUUUCUUUCUCUUCCUCCUCUCCCUUCUCUCUCUCCCCCCCCCUCCUUCCUCCCCCUCUCUCUCUCCCCCCCCAUUCUCUUUCUCGGUCUCCCACCCAUAGCAAACGUGUGACCGGAGGAAAAAGGAAAGAGCGCAAGGCGUCAAAGCUCUCUUUCUCCUUUUUUUUUUCCAAAUGUGGUGACCUGGUCGGUUCGUGCUCAGUACCAACCAACCUGGCCCUGGUACAGGCUGUUCCAAAACACUUUUAGCUGGGUUAUGAAUCCAAUUAAGGAUCAGCAUCCUGCACCCGGUACUGGUGCUUGUUUUCCUUUAGAGUGGUGCGGUACCAACGGUAUCCAUCCUGUUUCAGAGGGUCUUUAAUUCUUGAUCUCAAUAAGCCUUCUUCAUUCUAAUUCUUCGUGUCUUUCUUCUUCCCACAUCAACCAUUUAUUUUUAGAUUAAAGAGACUGGUUACUACAUUUAAGGGCAAAGGAAUUGCAUGGAUAAUUGUGCACUGGACUCUGUUUGUCACUGCCCCAUCAUAUUGUAUAUAUAUAUAUAUAUAUAUAUCUGUUAACUUUGUUACCAAAAGAAGUGUGUAACUUCCAUUUCAAGUAGUCAUAAAUUCCAACUCUUGCACAGGAGAUCUUCAAUGCCGAUAAGCAACAGGGUGGAACACGGAGAGAGAGAGAGAGAGAGAAUGUAUUCUUUCUGUAUUUGUUUAUUUGGUUGAUUUUGGCAAACCUUUUAAUCUAACCACGUAUUUUAAAUUGGUCAAGGACAAGAAAUUGUUGAAAACGAAAGGUACAGAAUUGUAACAGUUGUCUAAAGAGUUAUUAUUUGAACUUUGCAAAAGGUGAUUUUUUUUCUUUUAUUUUUUUUGAAAAGAAAUUCUGUUGAAAGUCUUGACGUUGCUGGAGCUCAAAAUAUUCAGGAAUAAAGAGACGUUGAAGAGUACGAGGGACAUUUGAUAUGACGGUUGGCAUACAACAAAAUUUAGAGAAUUUUAGAAAACAAUAGAGUAUUUAUAAAACCCAUGAUUUAUGUAUGGAAACAUACAAUCUGUACUCAUGAUAGAGUUUGGGUCAGACCUUUGAUAAAAAAUUCGCAUAGUUAUUAAGAAAUCUUCUACUAAUUUUUGAAGUUGGAAGUUUGUGACUGGAGUUGAAUCUUGGUUGUUCUUGAUACAAAGUCACAGUUAGUUUUUGAUGUAUUUUGCUAUCACAGAUCGAUAAAUGUAUGCAGGUAAUAUGGUCAGGUAGGGAAUAGUUUUUAUUUUCCUCGCCAGCACAAGUAAUGAUUAUUGAUCUAACUACAUUACUCUAGAUUUUAAACUUCAAGAAAUAAACAUAUAGUAGAAUUCAUAUAUGAAGUCUGGUAGUAGAUGUGCUUCUAAGUAUGUGCCAUAACUUUUAGCUCCUACUAAACUUUCUAUUACAUUUAAUAUGAUCUAAUAUGAGGUUGACAUGAUUAAGCACGAUUUCUUGAGUAACCUUAUUACUUAUUUAAACAUAAAGUAAAUUUAGAUUCUGCUAGCAUAUUUCAUGUAUAUGUUCUUUUUUUCUUCAUUUGAAUACAUAUAUUAUUGUGCUAACUCUGUUUUCUAAUUCUGUAUCAAAGGACUCCUUGGAGAUAGAUCAGCUUAUUGGUUACUUAAUAAAUAAGGAAAACUCGGAGGGUGUUGUGCUGCUUGGACACAGUACUGGUUGCCAGGUUCAUAUAUGUGAAAUUCAACCAUUUAGUUGAAGCUUAUCUUGCCUUACCAUCUAGACACAUGUCAAGUAUAUUAACUUGACCCACGAACACUUAUACAGGAUAUCGUGCAUUAUAUGCGCACAAAUUUUGCAUUCUCCAGAGCGGUUCGUGGAGUCAUUUUACAGGUAUUUUCUUAUUUGUUAUAUAUUUUCUACAUUUAUGGCUCCGUAUGAAUUAAGAAUGUCCUAAGUUAAAAAAAUUGUCAAUUAUAUCACAAAAUUUGCAAGUUCAUCAACGCCACUGUUUCUUAAAUUUUUAGGAAAUGUGGGGGAGUUUGUCAUGUUCUUUUUCAAUCGAUAGAAGAACAAGCAAGGUUGCAGGGAGGUUAUAUAAGCUUUAUCUCCCACCCGGUCAAAUUCUUACCCAAAACAUAAUAAUGCUGUACCAAAAAGAGGAAGUGAUUUAUAUGUUGGAAGACUAAAAAAUAACCAAACAAAUGAAGUGUCUUAGGCUGAUAAUUCUCCUGGCUGAUUCUCCUAAAAGGUUUCCCAGUUUGAAGCACAUGAAGAAAGCCCAAAGAACCUUAUAGCUCCACAUUGAGGGGUUGUCUUGCCUAUUGGACAUCCUCGACAAUAGUCAUCUUUAUUUUUUUCUUUAAAAAGAUUCUGUCAAUUCUUUGAUCCAGAUCAUCCAACAAAAAGCUAAGGGUGUCACCUGAGUGCACCAAGUACAUCCUUCAACAAGCUGAUGUGGAGGCAGGCAGCUGAUACAGUUACAAAGUCUGCAUAGGUUGCUGUUGCUGCCUUCCUUGACAACAAAAAAAACCUGUAAGGCCUGAUUCAAGGAAAAUAAUUCUCAAUGUUUUAUCCUCAAGGAAGUUAUCCAUGAACUAACCAUCCUGCCUCAUAAGUCAGCAUUUUGUUCUUAUAAGCUAGCUACAUCAGUAAUUGCUUAUAGUCAUAGCAAAGGGCACCUUCUGAACCUGAUCGUCAAAGUCUCAGGACAUCCGAUUCCUGUCAUCAUGGAUAAUUGAGAAUCAAAUAAAAAAUACCUGUUGUCCCAUGUCAACACCAGCUGUCCUUUAUUCUGAGGAGAUGUCUUCAACCAGGACUGUCUCAUGACUCUCAUCCGCUCAAUAAUCAGGUGCUCUGAUAUCUGACUGAAGUGAGGCCAUUUGGUGUCCUGAAAGAACCACGAAAGCCAACUGAGCGCACUGUACACAGAGAAAAAAGUAGUAUCUCCUCUGUUUUCUUUGAACUGAACCCCAAUCUCAAAGCAAAGUUUCUUCGUUUGAAGGGUAAAAAUGCUUAUUGAUCUUCUUGCAUUGUUGCUCAUUUAAGGGGUAUAUUAGUUAUGAAUUGGAUGUCAAGCCUCUUAUGAUCUGCAAUUCUCCAGUCACUUAACACAUUUUUUCUUUAAGUUCAGAAUACUUGAUUUCAGAGGCAAUUUCCACCAAUGUCUGGUUCACGUGUUUUCGGUAGAACUGAGGUAUUAUGGACAAAAUUAACCAAGGCUAUUGUAAAUCAGAGUACAAAGAGUGAGAAAUUCAUGAAACAUAGGAGAAAAGACACGCCUUUUUAAUUAUCUUAAGCAUGUCUAGAUUAAUGAUUAUAGUCUUCAAACUUCUGACGUGACUACCUUGAUUUAUUCAAAAAAGUUACUGGUGUAUUUUUCAGAUGCUAGGAUCAUAUAUCUAUAGUUGCUAGAAUUAUGAUGUGUUAGUAAGCGCCGUGCUUGUGCAAAUCCACUACUAAUAGAUAACUUGUUAGUGCUUUACUAUUAUAACCAAGGAUAAAUCAGUGAGAUACUUUUCAAUGACAAAAUACACAUUAUAAACUUAAUAAAAAAUUCAAGGUUGAUGGACUUCUCAUUUGCUUCUAAAUGCUUUCUUUCUUAGAUACUAGCCUUAUAGGGCUGGAAGUGGGAUGUGCUAGGACAGGUCGCGCCCUUUUUGAGCCUGCCCAAUUUUUUUUCAGGCUUUAGGCGAGGCCAAAGAUCAAAAAAGAUUUCCUAGAUCAAGCCCGAGCUUGAUCCGAGAUCGACCUAAAGCCCGAAUAGGCCCAACCAGAAUUGAGCUUGAGCAAACUUUGCUCGAGUCUAGCAACCCCCACCUAGUGGCCGUGUAUGAGACCAAAUCCUAGGAUGGAGUUGACUAGGUCGAUGGAGAAGAGGUAGAGGGAGUUGGUGAGGGUGACAGCGGGGCGGCAACAAGGUACUUGUGAGGUGUCUGGGAGGAGCAAGGGAAGGAGAUCUAGAAGCGGAGGUAGAGGGGAUGGGUGCUAGGUUUGGGCCAUCGGUGGUUGGGGUAACGAGGGUGAGGAGUAGAUCUCGAGAGUAGAGGGAAGUGGUGUCGGAGUUAUGAAUGACAGCGACAAGGAGCAAGUGAAGGCUAGGGGAAGGGGGAGGGUGGAAGCCUCCAGAUGGUAUCCAUGAGCCUGGGAGGGGCUUUACAUGUUGAGGUGGGUGGGGGGCGAGGAGGGAAGGGAGGAUGAGGGUGAGGAGCUUGAGUCACGGAAUGAAGACAAACGUAGAGAGAAGGGUGGGAGAAAGAGGUGGAGAGAAGAGUAGGAGAGAGAGCGUGCGGGUCGGGGAAUAUGGGUUAGGGUUAAGGUUAAAUGGGUUCAAGUGGCGGACCAAGCCCGGUCAGGCUUUGGGCUGGGUUUGGGUGAGGCUAAGUUUUUGUUCGGGCUCUACAACUUGUGCCCCAACCCAACUUGAACCCUUUUAGGCCAUGCCAAAACCCAAGCUGGUAUGACCCAACAGGCCUCGAGCCAACUUGAACCCACUUCUAGCCCUAUAUGCGUAUUAUUUCUAUAAUUACAGACAUUAAGCAUAACUAAUUUCCACAUUUUUAUCCCCCUAUCUUUCAUUUAAAAAUUCACUAUUUGGUAAAAUGGCAACGAUUCUUUGAGGAAUGUAUGCUGCCAAAACUGUGUAUAUAAUUGUCAUUAAUAUCUUAUAUGCUUAAUUUGAUAUAACUGAUCAGGCCCCAGUUAGUGACCGGGAAUACAGGGCAACUCUUCCCGAAACUGCUGUGAUGAUAGACUUGGCAGCAAAAAUGAUAAGUGAAGGUAGGGGAAUGGAAUUAAUGCCCAGAGAAGCAAAUCCAGAUGCCCCAAUAACUGCCUACAGGUGAAAAUUACAGCAGUUCCAUUGUUUAAUAUUUGCUCUUACUCUUAAUGAUUGUGCUAACAAUGUUCUCUUUAAAUCAUUUAAGCUGAUUUACGUAUGAAUAAUCAAAUUCUGUUGACCUUUGGUUUCAAGGAACUUCUGCCAUUACCUUCCACCAUGCUAUGUUGUAGGUUUGUAGCCCUGAUAUAGACAUACAUUUCAAAAUGGCUUGUCUUCUACUACCGGAUUCUAAAAUCAUCUUUAAUUUUCACAUUUUUUAUGCUAUUCUAUUAAAAGGUCCAUGAUCUUCAGCAGAUUUUGCUCUACUUGUGUUUACUAAAAGAAAUUAAUUGGUGUUUGACAUGCCAAAUCAUGAAAUGCAAUAUUUGCCACUUGUUACUAUUCCAUUUGAGCACUGCCAAUAUUUAAUAUCUUUAUCUUGUACCAAUGGAUGUGGAUUUUACAUAUUCAUUUUGAGGUUUGUGGAACAUGUUAGCUGGCUAACAGCUUAAUCAUUCAGGUGAAAGGAACUCAAACUAAAUUCUGAUUUAUAAGGAUACCCAUUAUCCAAUGCUCAUACUAUAGAAUGGUGGGUAUAUGGAACAUGGAUACAUUUCAUGAUCAUAAAUCCAAUGCAAAGGUUAGAGACUAUAAUAUAUGGAUUUUGAUUUCGACAUUUUUUAAUUAUGUUCAAUAGUUUGGAUAUUCAAAUUGGAUGGCCUAUCAUUCAUUUUGAAGACAAAAUGACUAUCUCAGCUAUCCUGUUUAGAGCACUUUAGCUCUACUCUCUCUCCAUAUAUACAAUGGUAUGCUAAACCGGCCCGUACCGGAGGUAUGACGGUGGAAAACGGUUUCGGCCCCAAAGGGGCUGGAACUGAGCGAUACAGAGGAUUACCAGUGUGAAUCGGACCGGUUUGCAUCUGUAUGGCUAUCUUCUUGUCACUUUGAGCUCCUGCAAGUCUUGGUCCGGUUCGCACCGGUACGACUAUCUUCUUGUCACUUUGAGUUUCUGUAGGUCUUGGCCUCUUCUUGUCACCCUUUUCCUUCUCUAAUCUCUUCAAAUCUGAUUCGACCUUCAAGGCUCCUUCCAACACAUUUUUAUAACUACUGAAGAGGUGAGAUGACAAAUGAGACCGAAUCGGAUAUCUUAGACCUUGUUCAAAUCUAUUAGCCUUGAGUGUUGGGGAUAGAGUCGGCCUAGUUUGUUAAAUUUAUUUGCAUGCUUUAAUAUUGUCAUGUCAUCCUUCUGCCUCAAAACUAAGAACUCAUUCUCUUUUGCUAAUUUCACUGACUCAGAAGAGUAUUGAUCAUAAAAUAUUUUCUUAAACUCUUUCCACGUCAGCUGGUCAUCCUUAUUUCCAUUAGCAGCUUUUAUAGAGUCCACCAAAACUCGUUGUUUCCUCUGAGCAUCGGUAUGGCCAUUCUAACUUUUUACGUCCUCGGAAUACUGCGUGGAUCAAACAUCUUCUCCAUCUCCUGAUUCCCUAUGGGUAGAGAAUCAGCUCCACCCUUAAACAUCGGUGGGUUAAGCCUUCUGAAUCUCUCGUAAUAGGACUCUCGAGGUGGUGUAGGUCUAGGAGUGGCCUGCAUUUGCUGCUGUUGCUGAAGGAGCUGAGCCACUAUUUGGCAUUCUCCAACAAUGUCUACCCUAGUGGCUGGGGCAUUUGAAACUUGCUCAACUGGCUAGUUGGCAUCUCCUUUCGUGGUCACUCUUGCUCCUCUUUUUCUUGCAGCAAAAUUUGCUAAAACCUCCUCUUCUCUGUUGCUUAUUAUCACCUAUUAAAAUACUAACAUUAAUCAAUUUUUAUGGUCGAGCAACAAUAAAAUUAAGAAUAUCUAUNNNNNNNNNNNNNNNNNNNNNNNNNNNNNNNNNNNNNNNNNNNNNNNNNNNNNNNNNNNNNNNNNNNNNNNNNNNNNNNNNNNNNNNNNNNNNNNNNNNNNNNNNNNNNNNNNNNNNNNNNNNNNNNNNNNNNNNNNNNNNNNNNNNNNNNNNNNNNNNNNNNNNNNNNNNNNNNNNNNNNNNNNNNNNNNNNNNNNNNNNNNNNNNNNNNNNNNNNNNNNNNNNNNNNNNNNNNNNNNNNNNNNNNNNNNNNNNNNNNNNNNNNNNNNNNNNNNNNNNNNNNNNNNNNNNNNNNNNNNNNNNNNNNNNNNNNNNNNNNNNNNNNNNNNNNNNNNNNNNNNNNNNNNNNNNNNNNNNNNNNNNNNNNNNNNNNNNNNNNNNNNNNNNNNNNNNNNNNNNNNNNNNNNNNNNNNNNNNNNNNNNNNNNNNNNNNNNNNNNNNNNNNNNNNNNNNNNNNNNNNNNNNNNNNNNNNNNNNNNNNNNNNNNNNNNNNNNNNNNNNNNNNNNNNNNNNNNNNNNNNNNNNNNNNNNNNNNNNNNNNNNNNNNNNNNNNNNNNNNNNNNNNNNNNNNNNNNNNNNNNNNNNNNNNNNNNNNNNNNNNNNNNNNNNNNNNNNNNNNNNNNNNNNNNNNNNNNNNNNNNNNNNNNNNNNNNNNNNNNNNNNNNNNNNNNNNNNNNNNNNNNNNNNNNNNNNNNNNNNNNNNNNNNNNNNNNNNNNNNNNNNNNNNNNNNNNNNNNNNNNNNNNNNNNNNNNNNNNNNNNNNNNNNNNNNNNNNNNNNNNNNNNNNNNNNNNNNNNNNNNNNNNNNNNNNNNNNNNNNNNNNNNNNNNNNNNNNNNNNNNNNNNNNNNNNNNNNNNNNNNNNNNNNNNNNNNNNNNNNNNNNNNNNNNNNNNNNNNNNNNNNNNNNNNNNNNNNNNNNNNNNNNNNNNNNNNNNNNNNNNNNNNNNNNNNNNNNNNNNNNNNNNNNNNNNNNNNNNNNNNNNNNNNNNNNNNNNNNNNNNNNNNNNNNNNNNNNNNNNNNNNNNNNNNNNNNNNNNNNNNNNNNNNNNNNNNNNNNNNNNNNNNNNNNNNNNNNNNNNNNNNNNNNNNNNNNNNNNNNNNNNNNNNNNNNNNNNNNNNNNNNNNNNNNNNNNNNNNNNNNNNNNNNNNNNNNNNNNNNNNNNNNNNNNNNNNNNNNNNNNNNNNNNNNNNNNNNNNNNNNNNNNNNNNNNNNNNNNNNNNNNNNNNNNNNNNNNNNNNNNNNNNNNNNNNNNNNNNNNNNNNNNNNNNNNNNNNNNNNNNNNNNNNNNNNNNNNNNNNNNNNNNNNNNNNNNNNNNNNNNNNNNNNNNNNNNNNNNNNNNNNNNNNNNNNNNNNNNNNNNNNNNNNNNNNNNNNNNNNNNNNNNNNNNNNNNNNNNNNNNNNNNNNNNNNNNNNNNNNNNNNNNNNNNNNNNNNNNNNNNNNNNNNNNNNNNNNNNNNNNNNNNNNNNNNNNNNNNNNNNNNNNNNNNNNNNNNNNNNNNNNNNNNNNNNNNNNNNNNNNNNNNNNNNNNNNNNNNNNNNNNNNNNNNNNNNNNNNNNNNNNNNNNNNNNNNNNNNNNNNNNNNNNNNNNNNNNNNNNNNNNNNNNNNNNNNNNNNNNNNNNNNNNNNNNNNNNNNNNNNNNNNNNNNNNNNNNNNNNNNNNNNNNNNNNNNNNNNNNNNNNNNNNNNNNNNNNNNNNNNNNNNNNNNNNNNNNNNNNNNNNNNNNNNNNNNNNNNNNNNNNNNNNNNNNNNNNNNNNNNNNNNNNNNNNNNNNNNNNNNNNNNNNNNNNNNNNNNNNNNNNNNNNNNNNNNNNNNNNNNNNNNNNNNNNNNNNNNNNNNNNNNNNNNNNNNNNNNNNNNNNNNNNNNNNNNNNNNNNNNNNNNNNNNNNNNNNNNNNNNNNNNNNNNNNNNNNNNNNNNNNNNNNNNNNNNNNNNNNNNNNNNNNNNNNNNNNNNNNNNNNNNNNNNNNNNNNNNNNNNNNNNNNNNNNNNNNNNNNNNNNNNNNNNNNNNNNNNNNNNNNNNNNNNGAAUAAUCAAAUUCUGUUGACCUUUGGUUUCAAGGAACUUCUGCCAUUACCUUCCACCAUGCUAUGUUGUAGGUUUGUAGCCCUGAUAUAGACAUACAUUUCAAAAUGGCUUGUCUUCUACUACCGGAUUCUAAAAUCAUCUUUAAUUUUCACAUUUUUUAUGCUAUUCUAUUAAAAGGUCCAUGAUCUUCAGCAGAUUUUGCUCUACUUGUGUUUACUAAAAGAAAUUAAUUGGUGUUUGACAUGCCAAAUCAUGAAAUGCAAUAUUUGCCACUUGUUACUAUUCCAUUUGAGCACUGCCAAUAUUUAAUAUCUUUAUCUUGUACCAAUGGAUGUGGAUUUUACAUAUUCAUUUUGAGGUUUGUGGAACAUGUUAGCUGGCUAACAGCUUAAUCAUUCAGGUGAAAGGAACUCAAACUAAAUUCUGAUUUAUAAGGAUACCCAUUAUCCAAUGCUCAUACUAUAGAAUGGUGGGUAUAUGGAACAUGGAUACAUUUCAUGAUCAUAAAUCCAAUGCAAAGGUUAGAGACUAUAAUAUAUGGAUUUUGAUUUCGACAUUUUUUAAUUAUGUUCAAUAGUUUGGAUAUUCAAAUUGGAUGGCCUAUCAUUCAUUUUGAAGACAAAAUGACUAUCUCAGCUAUCCUGUUUAGAGCACUUUAGCUCUACUCUCUCUCCAUAUAUACAAUGGUAUGCUAAACCGGCCCGUACCGGAGGUAUGACGGUGGAAAACGGUUUCGGCCCCAAAGGGGCUGGAACUGAGCGAUACAGAGGAUUACCAGUGUGAAUCGGACCGGUUUGCAUCUGUAUGGCUAUCUUCUUGUCACUUUGAGCUCCUGCAAGUCUUGGUCCGGUUCGCACCGGUACGACUAUCUUCUUGUCACUUUGAGUUUCUGUAGGUCUUGGCCUCUUCUUGUCACCCUUUUCCUUCUCUAAUCUCUUCAAAUCUGAUUCGACCUUCAAGGCUCCUUCCAACACAUUUUUAUAACUACUGAAGAGGUGAGAUGACAAAUGAGACCGAAUCGGAUAUCUUAGACCUUGUUCAAAUCUAUUAGCCUUGAGUGUUGGGGAUAGAGUCGGCCUAGUUUGUUAAAUUUAUUUGCAUGCUUUAAUAUUGUCAUGUCAUCCUUCUGCCUCAAAACUAAGAACUCAUUCUCUUUUGCUAAUUUCACUGACUCAGAAGAGUAUUGAUCAUAAAAUAUUUUCUUAAACUCUUUCCACGUCAGCUGGUCAUCCUUAUUUCCAUUAGCAGCUUUUAUAGAGUCCACCAAAACUCGUUGUUUCCUCUGAGCAUCGGUAUGGCCAUUCUAACUUUUUACGUCCUCGGAAUACUGCGUGGAUCAAACAUCUUCUCCAUCUCCUGAUUCCCUAUGGGUAGAGAAUCAGCUCCACCCUUAAACAUCGGUGGGUUAAGCCUUCUGAAUCUCUCGUAAUAGGACUCUCGAGGUGGUGUAGGUCUAGGAGUGGCCUGCAUUUGCUGCUGUUGCUGAAGGAGCUGAGCCACUAUUUGGCAUUCUCCAACAAUGUCUACCCUAGUGGCUGGGGCAUUUGAAACUUGCUCAACUGGCUAGUUGGCAUCUCCUUUCGUGGUCACUCUUGCUCCUCUUUUUCUUGCAGCAAAAUUUGCUAAAACCUCCUCUUCUCUGUUGCUUAUUAUCACCUAUUAAAAUACUAACAUUAAUCAAUUUUUAUGGUCGAGCAACAAUAAAAUUAAGAAUAUCUAUAUUUUCUUAUUCAACUAUGCGGAACCUAAUUAAACGAGACCUAACUACCCAUUGCUAAACGUUUAAGUUUUGCCCACAAUUAAACCUAUUGCUCUGAUACCAUAUUGUCACAACUCAAGGCUUCAUCCAAAAAGGCUAGCCGGAAAGUAUUAUUUGUAUUUCUUGAUAUUGUAUAAGUAUCCAAGAUCUACCCAGCAAAUAACCGAUAUGGGACUAAACACACGCCCGCACAGGUCCUCACAUAAAUAAUAUCAGAGCGGAUCCAGCUCAUAAGCUAUGUGGACUAAGGGGUAUUAUAGCAUGAAUCUAUUGGGGCUGACCACGUGCUGAUCGUGGUGCUUGUGAUUAGAUUUAUAUGGAUUUGAAGCUUUAGCCGGACGAGGACGUUGGGGCUUAAAUGGGGGAAAUAUGUGAGAACUCGUGCGGGCGUGUGUUUAGUUCCAUAUCAGUUAUUCGUUGGGUAGAUCUUGAGUACUUAUACAGAAUUAAGGAACCCAAAUAAUACUUUCCGGCAAGCCUUUUUGGAUGAGGUCCUGGGUUAUGCCAUAAAAUACCUUCAUGCUUAUUUGUUUUUAUUGUAGUUGACUUUUUAAUGGAAGGUUUAGCAUGUUAUCUCGAGUGUACCAUGGAAGGCUUAGCAUGUCAUCUCGAGUGGUACACUCGAAGUGUUAAAACUUAAAAUAUAUUUCCUUUUUUGUUUUGCUGCAUAAAUGUCAGGUUGCUGGACAUAACUUUUCUUUUAUUACACACAAGGGAGCUUUCAAUCAUCACCAAUUGCUAAAAUAACAACAUACACCAUCAUCCAUCUCUUCCUUCUCAUGAUCCUGUUUCACUCAACUUGUUUUUAAAGCCCUUUUUAUUGUGUAAUAUUUUCAGUCAUACAACAUAGUAAAUCUCAUUCUAUAAAUUUUUUACUUUAGGUCAUCAAGGCGUGCGUCAAUCACAUAAUACCAUAGAAGCACCUCUCUAUUAAAUUUUUUAGGCAUUCAACCAAGGGGCAUAUCGCUAUCGGUACAUUACCAGUACGAUACUUAAAUCACGGGUUGAUAAUGCCCUAUUCGUACAAAAUCAACAUAUUUCUUCUCACACUCAUUAAUUACCCUGGGCAUGAAGUGCACUUGCCAAAUAUAAUUUGGCACCACAAAAAUGCUCUGCUAGCACAGCUGUGAAUCCUAUAACUAUCUUGUGUUAAAUGCCUGAUAGUAAUAAUGAUAUCAUUACUGUGACCACAUGUCAAGUUGUAAUUCACCAAAAUUUCACCAUUAUCAGAUUGAGCAGACCAUUCAAGCCUUCAUACAGAAACUGCAUUAAUUGAGAUAUAGUUCAUGAUUAAAAUGGUUAGAUGUCUUCAUAAAGAAGGCUUUCAGCUAGUCUGCUAGGGAGGAGCUAUGAAGUAUUGAUGUAAAUCUCUAUUAUUCUCUUGGUUGUACUGUCACUUUGUAACCACAUUUCCUGGUUGUACGCAUGUGUGUUUUCGUUAAUCUUUUCUACUGACAUUCCAAAGUAAUUAAAAGGUACCAUUCACUUUGCGCAUACAUGGGCGAUGAUGAUAUGUUCAGUUCAGAUCUUAGCGAGGACCAGUUGAGAUUGAGACUUGGUCACAUGACAAGUACACCUUGCCAGGUAAUCACUCUUUUAUAUCUGUUUUUGUUUAUUGAGUUUGCUAUUUUUCAAUGCAUAAUGUGUUUCAACAGUACUUCAUAUCAUGCCGAAUCAGGGCAUGGCAUUAAUUUUUUGAUUGGUUACUGCCUGAUGAAGUGUUAUGUUUUCAUUUUCAUCAUCAUUUGUACUGAAUAAAAAAAUAGAACUGGUGCAUUUGUAUGAUUUACUUUCAAGGCAGUUUUUCCUUCUUGCCACAACUAGCAUUGUUAAGGAUGCUGAUAGCAUCAAUGAUGAAUCAAUGAAUUAUGUUAAGAUCUGCAAAAGCAUGAAGAAGUUUUAUGCUUGCUUAUUUUGUGCAUUCGAUAUGGGGGAACUCAACACCUGGUUCUUUGAUUGUCAUUCUAUGUUUAGUCCAUAAAGGUUUUUAUUUUGCAUUUAGUCGUUGAACACAGUUUGAACAUCAGUCCAUCCAAUUAUUUGUUUAAUUUCAUGCAAAAGACUUCUUUAGGAACAGUCUGUGAUGCAUGGUUAUGCGAAACCAUCAUGAUAAUCAGCAAAAUGCAUUCUGCAUAACUUUUAUAUUGUUUUAGGCUAUCUUUUUGGCUAUAAAUUUAUUGUAAAAAUCCGUCGUCCAACCACUCUCUCGAGCAUCAUUCUUUUGAAGCAAUUAAUAUUUUUUUUGAUGUUGUAUGAACACCAUCUUUGGCUUGUCUCUUAUCCUUUCAGUUAUUAUUUCUCAAUCUGAAUUCUUUGUACUCAGCGCUUUUAAUUUCAACACCAAGGUUCUCUCAACUUCUAAUUGUCCUGUUCACUGUCCUAUUAGGCUUUCUGCAUUUACAUCGAUUUAUGUUGGUGCAAGUUGUUUGCCGUUCAUAUUUCAUUCUAGAAUAAAAGGGUCUCCUAUUGCUUGGAGCUCUCACCACUGCGUAGUCUAUGGAGGGUCAAAUGUGCACAGUCUUACCCCCUCCUAGGGAGAGACUGUUUUUGAGUUCCGAACCUGUGACACCGAAGUCAAUAGAGUAACCUUAUUGAUUUGUGCCAAGGCCUACCCUCAUUCUAGAAAGCAAACAAAGUACUCCCUCCCUCGCUCUUCUCGUGUUAGUUUGGCAUUUCAUCAUGGUAUCUAAAUUUCCAGUAUUCAAAAGUCAUUCUUAAAUGCAUAGUAUCAUUAACCGAUAAUGGACUUGCUAUCGGUUUUGUAGCAUCAAGGCCACACCUGAAUUUUCUCCAGAAUCUGGUCUAGCGAGUUUCCCCCCUUGAUAUUUUUUUCUUCAACAAAUUGUUGCAGUCAAAUUUGCUAAUUUUCUUUCAUCAUGUUUGGGUUAACCUGCUAGAUGUGCAUUGCCUAGUGUCUUUUAAAAUAUUCGUAGGUGCGCUAUCAUUAUCACCUUUUUCUCAAUUCUUCAGCGACUGAUAAUUGUGUCUGUUCAAAAAUUAUUUUGUUCUAAUGAAGCAUCAAUAUUUUAUUUACAUCUUUUCACAGCUGUUAUGCAACUUCACACUAAAGCUACUGCUUCAGAUCCCUCAACUAUAAGUGGCUCAACCUAUUAGAAUGAUUCACAAAAUCUUGGUUUAUAAAAGCCUGAAACAAGUUAGCAGUAAAGCUUAAUAGAUCAAAUCGGUAGUAUUUAGUAAUAUAUUUAAUUUAGUGCUGGUCCUCGUCUUUUUUAAGUUCCUAGUCAAUAAUAUUUGUUUGUGGUUGCAUGAGACUUCUCAUUACUGGCUCUUUAGAUUUCAGCUGGGGAUCCAGAUAGAGAUGUUUUAUCAUCUCAAUUCCUUACACUAGAACAAUCAAUCUCCUGGACAAACAUAUUGCCUUCGGCAGUACGGGCCACCAUGUGAAGUAAUUGGGUAACUAAAUUAAGCGUUCUGAGUUGCACCAAUGGAGGAUAAAGUUGUGACUGUUUUACUUUGUGGAAUAAUUGGGUAACUAAAUUAAGCCUUCUGCUUUACUUUGUGCUGUAAAAUUUGCAGAAUGUUGUAGACUCUGGGAUUCUUUUAGCUAGCGUUCAUUUUUGAGGUUCCUCCUACUUUCUGGUACAAAAUAUUGUUUUAAAUUGUGUUUCUGAUUAUUUGGCUGCAGGUUAUUUUCUCCAUGGCUGAUGAGAAUGUGCCAGACUAUGUUGAUAAGAAAGCACUGGUAGAAAGGUAACAGUUCUCAAGCUCAUCCUACAGCUUAAGGAUGUCAUAUAGUUAUUGAUGAACCACUUCUUAUCGGAGGUGCAUGAAUCACCUAGUUUGCAUAAUCCUGCAGACUAUGUCAGGCUUUGGGAGGUGCCGAGAAGGUUGAAAUUGAAUGGGGAAAUCAUUCUCUCUCUAAUAGAGUGCAAGAAGCAGUUCAGGCCAUCCUAGAUUUUGUUAAGAGGGAAGGACCGAAAGGAUGGGAUGAUCCGUGGAACUAGAUUUCUGCAUGUUUGUGUCUAUAUAUACAUAUAUUUUGAAUUCGAUUUCCUUUUUUUUCUAUGUAUACCUUUUUCUCAUUUGCCUUCUUUACUCACCUUUUUUUUUGUAUGUCUGUCCAGAUUUUAUUACUUGAUUGUUGUUGAGUAUUAUUAAUUUAUGAUUUUCUUGUGAUUAUUUUGCCAACUGCGUGCAUUUGAGUACAAGUCAAAAAUCAACCUGAUUGUCUUCUCCAGAACUAAUUUUUCUGUUUCUACAUCUAUAAUUCAACUUUACUGAAGUGCGGGUUACGUUAGUCAAGGUUAAUCAACAAGCAAUCCAUUUGUGUAUUAUGAGUUUUCUGACUCGAUGUAAGAGUGAUAGACUGCUUAUUUUCGGUCAAUCCAUUUGGGGUGCCUGCAUACCUAGUUUAUAUCUAGGUCAAGAAGCCAAACACUAGUCAAAAAUACUUAUUAGGUUUAAUAAUUAAAUCUUAAAUAUGUUUUUGAAUGUGGAAGGCGUCUUUGAGUUUGUAGACAUCAUUAAUUAUAGUUCAGUAUGUCUCUUAAGGCAAUUAUGAUAUGUCUUUCAAAAUGUACUCAUGUAUUAAUAUAAAAAAUAUAAAUAUUUAAUAUGGUUUUAUGUAGAAAGUGAGUCUAUGAAAUAUCUAUUUGAAUCUAGUGGUGGAUGCUUUCUUCUCUUUUAUACAAUCUUCUGUUACAUGUGUUUAACUCCGUAUAAUUCUAGCAUCAAUUGCUACUACGACAUCAACUUGAUUUCUCGUUAUGUUCUUGGUUUUUUUUUAUCUUUAGAAAACAUCCCAUUUCUCAAGUGUUGGUUUGCACCAACAACGAGCAUGAUAAAUUUCGACUCUACGGAGGGCUAUCUUGUCAAUAUGAAGAAUGCUCAAUUCAAACAGAAGGAAGACUAGAUGAAGGAUUUAGAGAACAAGCAAACCGAUUUAAAGAACAAACAAGAUAUUUUAAGAGUACCUUGAUCGACUUAAAGCUAUGGUUUUUCAAUUUAUUGCAGUUGAACUUUCUUUUAAUGAUCAACCAUUAGAAGUGAUUAUUCCAUACUAUAUCAGCCUCAGGACAAAGAGCUAAUAGAGGAAACAAAUGAAGUUUGAUUUUUUCCCUGAAGUUCUGAAACUGUAUUACCAUGCCUUCCUAAUUCUCCUUCUAAAGCUUAGGUACUUCCUCUUAUAGUUCUUGAACCUCAUACUGCUCAAAUUUCUAUGUCACCUAUGGCUUGCCAUUAGUUCCACGUCGCCUAAGUUUCAUUCGAGUGGGGAAUUUGAUAGUUUAAAGUUCUAUUGGAAAACAAAACUUGGAAGUUCUGGAAAUUGAAUUUCACCUUUUCAAUUUGGAUACUCAAAUUUAGUAAGUGGUGAUUGGGAAAUGCUUUAUACUCAAAUUUAGAUACUCACUAGAUCAUCUGUCACAGCAUUCUUAUCUCCCCAUGAAAGCACCAAGAUCGUUCAUUACGGUAUUGCAAAUUAUGUGCCAGAGAUUUUACAUGGUAUCACUUGAAGGACAAGGAAUUUGUAAAGCAUUUAUCUUCGAAAGAACUUAAGGACGAGUUCUAUGCUGCAGAAAUUUUUUGGCAUCCAAGCAAUGGACUACUUAUUUUAGACGAGCCCAUUUGGAGUGCUUAUAUAGCUAACCCAUCUUUUAGUCUAAGUCAGUCAAGGUUGGUCAAACAGUAUUUGUUAGGUCACUUAACAAUAUUAGGUCUUAAGUAUGCGUUUAUGAGAUGCGAAAAAGUACAUUUCGAGUUUCUACACAUCAUGAACUAUAUUUUAGAAGGUAGUCAUACAUUAAUGUAAUAUUUGAAUUCAAAUAUUCAAUCCUGGUCUUAGAAACCAGUAUUUUAUGUAUGGAUCCUUGAAGAACGCUGUACCAAUAUCAACAUGAUAUUCUGAUGCAUCUUUCUCGUGUUCUCAUUACCAUUUUGUUCUUGCUGUUAGCUGCUGAUGAUCCACGGCGCGGCGAACCGACCAUUCACUAAAUCUUCUUCAGGAACAAUAUUUCAAUCCAAAUUAGGCUUUCAAUGUAAACAUAAUGUUACAUUCCAAUGUCUAUUUAAAGCAUAACACUUUGGAAUAAAGUACAUUUCAAUGUCUAUUUGUAGCAUAAUACUUUGGAAUGAAGUAGAUCGAUCAUUUCUUCCCUAAGAACUUUUGCCCAGUAAGGGGAUUUCAACAGCUUGUCAUCAUGGUGGCGUUUUGAUUUUCUCAUCUACAAACAGAAGUGUGAAUUCUUGUUUGGCCAUUUGACCAUGAUGUUCUUAUAAGGUUGAUCUUCUUGUUGCUCUAUCAAGGUUUCGAAUCAUGUCUGAAGCAAGGCAGGACAGCUUUUUCUUUCUAAUAAGAACCAGAAAACUUUCAGCGAACGAUUAGUUAGUUGCAUCUAGCAAUCUAGCGUACAAACAAAAGUCAACUCAGUUUUCAGGCUUGUCAGUUUAUACUUGCAGAUCUUCACAUUCUAACAAAGUGAUUGUUCCAUGGGGUACACAAGUGGUGAAGAUAUUGUCUGAUAAUUUUGUUCGAAAAGGCACAGAAUCAUUAACUAUUUGAAAACCAGCUGGAAGAUGCAGUUUGUCUCUAAAAAUGGUUUGUUCAUAAGCAUUGACAGGAAACAAGCAUCCGAUACAAAAAGGCAUUUCUUUGAAUGAUUUAAAGUGCACAAACUUGUUAAUGGCUCUCCUUUUUCUAAUUUAAGUAUCAUAUCCGUAUAGAUACUUGAUUCUAGAUCGUUUAGUAGAUAGAGUCUGCCCGUUUUCAUCAAUCUCCUAAUCAACAUCCAAUUUAUUUUUAUGUUGGCAAAGAGAAUUCGAUUCGACAAUAUGCAUGCAGGCUAUCCGUGGAAUCAUGCCCAAAGAUCUGCAUGGGCAUCAUUCUAUUUGAGCUUUUAGCCCCCUAGUGUAUCGUUCAGAUUUCCUUCAUAAAGGAAACCCAAAUGGCCCUUCGGCUUUGUGGUUAGCCACUCAAGAACAGUUAAUUUGGCUCUUGACACGACUGACUCUACCAUGUUUUGGAGCUGACCCUAAACCUAAACCAUCUUCAGAGUUUAUUCACAAGAUUCACAUUAACGUAACUUUAUUAUGCUGGAUUAAAUCGUGAAUCUGAGCCUUUUUUUUUCUAUUAUAUCAACUCCAAAAAAGAGAGAGAGAGAGAAGAGAGAUUCAUACUGAGGUGGGGACAAGGAACAGGAGACAAUUUCCAUUUGGAAGGCAUCAUGGUCUUCCCAUCCCAAUGUCUGAAUAAAAUAGAUAGGUCAUUGAAUAAAUUUUUGAGAUCUAAACUAGGGUCUGCUGUGUUCAAAUAAAAAAAUUCUGAAAUCUCUGGUUUCUGUCAGUUCUCUUUAGAGGCACACUUGGAGAUGAUAGUUGACAAGGGCACUCGAUAGUGUGUGUUGUGACAUGACAUGAUGAUGGGUUUUAUGUAAGAUUAAACUUGUGGGCAUUAGUGCAAAAAGAAAUUAAUGAUGGUACAUCCGAGGAUCGGUACUAAAUAUGGUUGAUGUGAUGGAAUAAACCUUUUGUUGGUAUUCUAUUUGAACGUGAUGAGUGCAAUGCUCUCCCAAUGAUAGUAAAACAAUGUGCACCAUGAUUGAUAUUGAGAGGAGCCAAUGAGAUCUGAGGAGGUGGGAUGCUUGCCUUUCCAUCUCAUGGGGCUUUUGACCGGCCACCGCUCCUUUAGGAAAUAAGCACACCACAGUCUGAAAGUGGCUUUUCUCUUAAUGCAGCAAGAUCUUUGCAAGCCUUAGCAUUUGUUAUGAUAAUACCACCUUAUUUAUUACUCGGUUUAGUUUAGGGGUUUGAAUUUAAAAAUGGAUGCAAACCAUAGUGUUCAAGAAUGGUUUCAAAACUUCCAAUGCACAUAAAAAAGAAAAAAAAUUCUGAAAGUUCUCAAGAUUUUGAAGAGAUUGGUGACUCAGUAAACGAUUAAUCCACUAAUACAAGAUCAAUUUUUUCGUCAUUGCAAACAUAUAUGAGAAUAAUAAAACUAUGAUACUGUGAUGGAAAUUAUGCGAUAUAUACAAUAUGCAGUUGUUUAGGCAUUAGAUAUACCAAGUUACAAUAAGCAUCCAAGCGAAUUUUUUCAUAUGAAAUCCAAGAAAAAAUAUGUUUGAAAUCCUUUUACAUUUUCCUCUGCAAAUAAAAAACCUUAGAGAAAACUUGUCUUACGUAAUAAUAAUAAGGUUUUUUUUGCAAUUGUGUUGUAGACUAAUGUAAUCUAAGUGGGUCCUAGAGACAAUGCAACAACCUCUUCUUCCUUUUAACACCACACUUUCAACCAAUGAGGAUGUAGGUGCAGAUAAUGAUGGAUCCUCGAGCUAGUCCAUCAUUUGAUUUGUUGUGUCAUGGAAAGUAAUAGCAUUCCUGAAUCGUUCCGUUACUUGAUUUAUGAUAUGGUCGGGGCUAGAUUAUUGUUUUCUUUUACUACAACUAGCAUUAUGUAUGAAUAACCAAGGAGAUGCACCAUGGCACGUCCUUGCUUUAAAUUUUUUUUCCCUCUCAAUAGUUACUAUUCCAUCAAGUGCAACUACCAUGCUAGCCAAAUGGGAUAUGUGAUGGAUGGCUGUGAUUCUAUUAGGUGUGACUUUAUUGAGGUCUAUUUAGUGAAUGACAAACUUAGUCUUCUCUUCUUGAAUUAUAUACUUCUUGAUCAUUUAAUAUUACUUUUUUGUUUAUUAAAAAGUAAAUUAUUAGCAACAGUUUUGUCAAACUGUUGGGAGUUAGAAAUUUGACAAUAAUAUGAAAUAUAUGAGCAAAGUCAGUUGUUCGACUCUACUUUCGUUAUUUUGGGGUCAAAGUUGCAGAAGAUGCUAAAAAUCCAAGUAUACCUAAGCUUAUGAUACUAAGAUGUGGAUGGGCUCAAGAAAAAUAGUGUUGAAUUUAUAUUUGUUUGAAAGAAUGUACAAAAUUUUAAUAGAAUUGAUUGCUUAUUGUCCUCCUUCUCCUACUCUCACUCUUCACCCGCUUUAAUAAGCUGAAAUGCCUUCUUAAUUUGGCUCUUUUUCACCUAUAUAUGUUGUUAAUCAAGAUUAUUGGCAAGAGCUUUGGCUGCUGCUUGUCGAGGCUUUUAUGUUCUGGAAAGAUAAUGGAUUUUGUCAUGCCAAUUCUGAUGGAAAUUGAUAUAUGGUUUAGAGACUAGGUUUUUUAGGAUUUUAAUCUGCUGAAGAGUCAUAUAAGCCACUAGAAAAGUUAUAGACAUGUUCUAGAUUUUUUGUUUUUAAUCUCUACUUUAUAUAAUAGGAAAGACUUGAAUGCCAGCCUCCAAGCCCGAAGCCUACCUUUUGUUUUCUGGGAAGGGUAUGGGUGUCCUUAAUAGGUAAGGCUUGGACCCCCAAUAUACCCGGAAAACCAUGCUUAUAUUUAUGCACUGCGUAUGCAAAAUACUAAAUUGAAUAAGCCAUGCAAGAUUUUAGUGGGUAAAAUAAUACAUGACAUGGUAUAAAUUGAAAAAUCCAUAUUCCUGACCUCUAGAAUAAUAAAUAUUUUCUAUUUGGUUGUUAUCCAGAUAUGCAACUCUUUUUUUUAUAUAGAUCACUCAAAAGCCAAUGUAGUUGUUUUUAUGCUCUUUCUUAGCAGUGUUUCUCAUGUAGUAUGUAGUAUAAAUUAUCCUAUCCAUGACUAUUUAAUUUUUUGCUUUCUAAAUUUACCAUUGGAAUUUCUCAUAAGGUGGGUUUUUGUUGAUUAUAAACUGAUUUUAUUUUAAUUUAUUAUGUAAUACGCGCUAAGUUAUCUUCUGAAUAAAUAUUUAAGGAGCCUAUAAUUAAUUUGUGAUCGUAUAGCUAUUUUGGGCCCUAUUGACUCAAUCAUAUGGUUAGGUUUGAUUUGGUUAAUGGGCUCCAUAAUAGGUGAAACCAUUAGGAUUACUAACUAGGCUAAGUUCUCACUCUACUCUUAUAUAUUUUUAUCCGUAAAAAAACUCUAGGGCAUCAAAGUCUCUCUGUUGCUAGGGUGCGUCUAUGUCAUGAGGAGAUAGAUUUCAAGAAGGAGAAGGAGAGGAAGAUCUACUGUUAUAGCGAUUUUCAAUAGCUGCUUAGGGCUCACAAGGUCUGCUUCAAUCUUUUCCAGUUUAUUUUAUAGUUUUUGUCUAAUCUCCUGCAUGGUAUCUAUGGAAGAUCCCAUAUUUACAUCUCCCUCUAAUUUUUAAUUUCUUAAAACCUCUUAGAAAAUUCUUAAUUUCUUUUCAAAUCAUAAUUACUUCUUCUUUUCACUCUCUUCCUGCUUUGGACGACAUCAUCCUUACUAUAAUAAUGGGAUUUAAAAUCUUUGUCUCACAUCCACUGAGACACAUAUUUUUCUUAUCAUCACUCCCUACCGGAAGAGUCAUGCCCUACGUAUUGAUUGCACAAUGCCUACUUCUGAUAUAUAGAUAUAUAUGUUCGUUUGCUGCCCAUCCUGACCAACCUACAGUCUCAACUCGAAGUCCACGAAACCAUUAAAAUAAAAUCCAAAAUAUGCGAGCAGCACCACUAAACAUGCUUGCAGGGAAGAUGGUAGGAUGAGGAUUGAAGGGUAUCCUUCUCUAUCAGUGUUCUUCAACAAGCUAAUGACUCCUUGCACUGAAAGGUCUUUCUGAUGGAAGUCUUCUUGGGACUCAUCCUACCUUCCCCACAAAAAAAAAAAAGAAGCCACCAGUAAAGAAGAGAAGAUAAUGCGAGAGGCCAUCAUUUGCGUGCUCUGUACCUGCCUUCCGUUGCUCUCCCCACUUCAUCCGCGGCCCUCGACCCAAGAGGAUAAAGCUUAGUGCCAGGACCUGUAGGACCCGGCGUUUCUAGGUCUAGCGCACUAAAAAAAGCGGUUUUCAUGGCAUUUGGGUUGACCGCAUGAAACGACCGCACGAAUUUUAGAGCAGAAUCCUAAAGAUUACACCAGACUUCAGAUGAACAAAUUUUUAGUAACUUCAUAAGUUUAAAUCAAUAGCUAGCAACCAAAUAAUUCUAUUAAAUAAAUUUAUCGUAAUCAAAUCAUUAAAGUACUUAUUCGAUUAUAAAAUAUUUAAAUAUUCAUUUGGUAUCGAAAAAUCAACUAAAUAAUGACUCUAUAGCUCGAACUCCAUGCUCAACUCAAUCGAGACUAUGCAUAUGUAAUUCCGAAAGAAAAAAAGAGAGAGAUAGUGUAAGCUUUAUAAUUCAGUAAGAAUCUUCCAUAGUCACAUCAAUAAAGAUAUAGUAAAUUUAAAAUAAAGAUUAACUAUACAGCAUAUUAAAAUAUAGGCAAAAAUUAUAAAAUCUCAUACCGAUUAUUCAACAUAGCUUGGGUAAAUCCAUAUAAAUAUAUACAUGUAAAUGUAUGUCAUCGUAUAUACAACUCACUUAAGCAAACAUGUCAGAUAUUUUAUAAGUCUAAAACUUUCGUUCAGUAAUGGUUUUAUAUAUCUUAUCCUCUGUUAUUAUCCAGAUUUUCAAUCAAUAAUUAUCCUUCUGAUUUGGACUAUCCAUGGUCAUGCUUGGGCUUAGGAGUGACAAACUAUAAUUUUUGUGUUUCGAUCUAUGUUGGCAAACUAUAAUAUCUGCAUUUCAGCCUAUAGUGAUGAACCAUAAUACCCAUAUGUUUUGGCCCGUAAUGGCAUAUCAUAAUACCUGCUCGGCCCACGGCGGCAACCUUCAGUGGCGGCAGCAGUGGCAACGGCGACAAGCCAUGGGCCUAAAGGAGGGUUGGUGGCGCGUACAAUUCUGGCGAUUCAUGGGCCUAAAUUCAAGCAAUAGGGACGGCCUAGGAGCCGGAAAAGAGAGGAGAAUAAGAAUAAGUCGUCCUUCCUAGUCUCCAUAAGUAAGAGUCUUCCUCCCAGCCGUGCGUGCAAAGCACGUGGGUGCGGCAGUGUAGGCCAAACCAGGCCCGACAAAAAAAUUUAAGUUUUCUUGCAACGGUACUUUCCCUUGGCAUGCGGUUAUGCUCAAACAAAAUACUAAAUAAUAAUAAAAAAAUACCCAGUUCCAGAUGUUGACAUGCCAUGCUUACUUGCUUAGUCCAAAGCCUCCUUUUGGCUUCUUUCUCGGUCCAAAAUUCCUCGGUUUUGACAUGUAAAACGAGGGUGAUGAGGCCGAUAUUUUUUUCUCUACACUGCUCCAUCCCACCCCUCGUGAUAUUUAAGAGAAAUUUUUGAGGACAUAAGCACAGCAUGAGACCAUCUACUUAUUUCAACUAAUUUCACCAGUUGCACCCCACAUAAACAAGGUGCUUGCUUCAUUAAGACAUUGGCCUAACAUAUUGAAACGUCCUAGCUAACUUGUUGGCAUAUCAACUUCCACCAACAUCCUAAUGAAAACCAAUCUUAAUAUGUGGCAAGUGCUAGAUGCACCCAUCGAUCUUUGUACGAUUUUAAUUCUUAAUGCAUCUUUUGAAAUUCAAGGAGCAACCAUUUUAGUUACAUCACGUUCGCUCAAAAUAGCCACCUAAAGUAUCAUCUAUUAUUUAUUCGAAAAGUCCAAAUCCAAAAUAAUUGGACUAACAAUAUCAACUAAUAUAUUAGCUGCGUUGUUGGCUUCUUGGCAUAGAUCAGUGUCCGUAAAUGUUCCAAAAGAGUUCAUCAAGUCCUACAUAUGUCAAGCAUGCGUCGGGCAAUAAGACUAACCUACUCGGUAUCCAAUUGACCACAAUCGAAAGAGUCCAAAUAUAUAACCUGCUCUCAACUAUAUAUCACAAGCGUACACUUAUCAUACACAUAUUAUGUGUGACAUAUAACUGCCUUUGUUGAUAUACCUCGACAACAUGAAAACCAUGCUCAUCAAAUAAGAAAGUUACAUGAGAAAAAACGCAAAUGUCGUGGCCAUCCAUUAUAAUUUAUUAGUUACACUAGCUCAGUGCGGCCGCACAACGUACGGAGACCCGCGCGUGCGACCCUCGGAAUGGGCCGAUGCGGACGGACACCGGCCCUGUACGACCUCAGCACUUCUCUCUCUCUCUCUCUAUAUAUAUUAAUUCAUAUUAGGGAACCAUUAACGGCUCUGAAAGCAACCCACCUGCACUCCACACACCCACUUGCGCCCGUGCGGUGCCCACCCUGGGUCCCCCCACACGUGCCGUGGGCCCGACCUCUACGGCUCUCACACCGUGGCCCCCACAACCACGGCCGAGGCCAGCUUGGCCGCUGCCCCGGCGGCACCGGCGCCGCCCGUUCUCACCACUGUUUCAUUGGUCAACACGCUCUUCCCCUCCUUCCUGCCGCUGCUGGCAACAAAAUAAGCUUCUUCCUGUCCCUCCUCUCUCUCUUCUACCUUCUCCUUUUGGUUCAAAAAUUCUCCGACGAUCUCGAGACUGGGCCUGCACACGAGCUCGUCCCAGGUCCGGUCCGCCUCCUCUCCUCGCUUGCGGAAGACCUCGGUGGCGUCGACGCGGUGCACAUCCCAGCCGGGCAGCGUGCGCAGCCUGUUAAUCUUCUGCAGCUGGCAGCAGGUGAGCUUGCAGGUGUUGGCCUUGAUAUCGUCGAUCGCCGCCUCCAGAAGCCUCGCCUUCGUCCACUCGUCGGCCCCCUCCGCCUCGGCCCGCAGGUAGCGGUCCAUCUCCGGCACGCCGAUCGCCUUCCGAAUACCCCUCCCGUAGUCCGCCUCGGGGUCGAAUACCCCUCGCACCUCCUCCACCAGCCCCCGCUCCACCAUCCGGUCCACCCGCUCCCCCACGAACCGGUGCAGCUCCUUGAGCUGCACGUCCACCCACAGGAAGCAGCACGCGUACCUCGACCGGAACUCCCUCCCCGCCCCGUCGAUCAAUUCCUCGAUGUACGAAUUCGAGCCCCCGGCGACGACGGGCACCCACCCGCGCUGCGCGAUCGAGUUGGUCGCACUGCCGGCCGCAAGGCGGAAGUCCGAUGCGGUGAGGUCGGCAUCCGGCGGGACCCCGCCGAGGAGGUGGUGAGGGAUGCCGCGGGUCUCCUCGUCGGUGACCUUGUUGGUGACGACGUCGAGGCCGUCGUAGAGCUGCAUUUUGUCGGAAUUGACCACCUCCCCGCCGAAGCGGACCGCCAGGUCGAUCGCCAGCCUCGACUUCCCGGUGCCGGUCGCGCCCAUCACCACCACCACCUUGCCCUUCCGAGCACGCACCGGGAAGGAGCCCAUCGGAAGUAUCGACCUACCGACCGGCCGGCAGCCCGCCGGAGGAAUUCUCGGAAACCACACCUGGUUCAGAAUUUCCAGCAGCCUCAUGAGAGAUAAUAACAAGAGGAGAAAGAAGUCCACCGUACGGAGCUAUCAAUAUCAAUCUUUCAGCCUAUUUCGAUAUCACUCGAUCUUGUAGGCCAUGGAAACCACUUCUCUUUAAAGUUUAAAUGCUGCGCUUCCCAGGGAACGACAGGAUAAAGCUGCCUGAAUCCAUCAGCGUAGUGUAACUUCUUCUUUUGUCGCCGAAAAAUAUGAACGAAAAGGUUUGCAACCGCAGUAGACGCGGCGAAUUGGGCAUAAAAGUCUAGAGAAAGUAUAAACUUCCUCUCACUUUUUAGCCUAUACGUUUGCUUGUGGUUUCCUUUGACUUCUUUUCUUUUGAGACAAGGGUCUUUGGUGAUAGAGUUGGGCAGUGAAUUGGAGAGGGAGAAGAAGGAGAUAGUUGGCUUGGAGAGAGAAGGGGUGGAGGAGGUCGAUCGACUCUUCCUUCUUUCCACUCUGGGCUCGAGAGAAGGGGAGCGAAGUACUUAUAUAGCCUCGGUGCGGAUUCGGUGGAUUGCAGCGUGCAGUCCACUGAAUCCAUGCAUUGAAAGCAUGCCACACAGACUUUGCCAUGUCAGCUCAGGGACAAGUACAUGUACUUGAAGAUCAAGACACGAGUGAUUGGCUGCUGAUGAAUAAAUCUCUGCCAGUCAUUGAAGAUCAAGACACGAAUGAUCGAUGUAUGUCCAUUUUGAAAACUAAAGGCUUGGUAUGAAUUUUUUUAUCUGACAUGUUUGAUAACUAAUUGUUACUAGUAUUUAAACUUGUGAGCAAAUCUUAUAUUGUUUACUAUAUUUUUUUUAUUUAUACUUAUUUGUUAAUGUUAAAAAAUAUAAAAAUAAUUAAAUAUUAAUAUUAUUAUAUUUUUAAAAAAUAAGAAUCAAACAAAUGAUAUUAUAAAAUUCAAUAGGUUCAUAAUUGUUUUAUUAUAAAGCAUUUUUUAUGGACUAUGAACUUCAUAUUUGAAAUUAUAUUUUAUUAUAAAAAAUAUUUGGCAUUCCAAUAUUAUGGUCAUAGUUUUUAGAAUAAGUAAGAGCCGUUAAUUUAUGGGAUGAAUGAUGUGGCAAGGGUUUGUACGUGUAUAGAUGUAGAAAAUAUGCGCCAGCCUGAUCCAAACUAGAAGAGGGAAUAGAAGGGGCAGGUGGAAACGGGAGUUCCCUCUCCCAGGAUUAAAAACACCUCUUAGUUCGGAUAAAACAAGCUAAACUAAAAACAAACAAAGGGACCAAUCACGGGUCAUCGUUCAAUCAUUGAGUUAACCAAGUUAACGUGGGACAUCAGGAUGCUAUAAAAAAUACAUUGAUGAUUUCUAUAUAGAAAAAAUUAUAAAUUUUGUACCAAAAAAUUAUUAAAAAAUUGAAACAUGUAUAAUAAAUGUAUACUUUAUUGAAACAUUUGUUAGAUUGUUUCAAGAAAUCUGAAAAAUAAGAUUUAUGAAAAAAUGGGCUUUUCUGUAUCUUCUGCAAAACAUAUUUUACAUAAAAAUUAAAAAUUAUCAAUAUCUAUUUCAAAAAUAUUUGUUUGCUUAUAGAUAGCUCAUAGUCUCUCCUGAGAUUUCUUUUCUUAUAUAUCUUCUAUAGAACAAAUUGUAGAAUUGGACAUUUUUAGACAAUAAUAAUAUCUAAUGAAACAAUCUAAACCGUAGUCCCAUUGCUUCUCCUCUCCAUCAUUCACAGUAGCAAUAAAUCAAAUAGAAGAUCUGGAGAUGAGAAGAAAGUGGAAGGAAAACAAACCUAGGUGGAUUUGGCAUUUGAUGAGGGGGAGCGAUGUGCAGGGAGCCAAUGUAGUGCAACAACGAUCUUUCUUGCUAUUCAUGCUAACUUAUCAAACCUAUCCAACUCUAAAUAUAGAGAGUCCAAAUUGGCAUGAUAUUUUAGGAAAACCAAGAAUGAAACUCAUGCCAACUUCAAUCCAUAGAGCUAUAAGGAUGGGAAAAAAGUUAUAAAGAUCUAGGAUCUACACAUAAUUAUCUUUAGUUGUCUAGCAAAUUCAACAUUUCAUUACUAACUAGGUUAUUUCUUAUCACAAUUGAGGUGAACAAUAUUUUUGGUUUUAUCCUGUCAAAAAUGACCACUCAAUCCUCCGGAAUGUAGUUCUUAAAUGAUCUUCUAUUUCAUAAAACUAUUUAGGAUGCAAGUCAAAUUUCAAAGAAGAAAAAGCUAUUGGUAGAAGAGAAAUUAAGAAUAUCUCCACAUUUGAAGGAAGACUGGAUAGCUCCAAAAUUUGUAUAUUUCUUGUAUAGAUACUUUAGUAGGUCACAACCCACUACCUCUAUAAAGAUGCUAUUGAGUAGAAUAUUGCUACUUAGUUUGUCGCAAUGGACUAGUACCUAAUUACAAAAUUGAACUACUAGAUAAAUGCAAUUAUCCAUCUUCCACGUCAACGAUUAAGACAGUGAUUACCAUCAAGGAUAUUUCCUUAUGGUCGGUGUAGAGCACAAAGUCAUGCUGUUGAUUCUACAUUGUAGGUAGAGUAGUGAGGUAACUUCCAUUUAGCUUUUCGCUAAAAUAAGCCAUUGAUCAGCCUUCAUAAGAAAGAAUUGCACCAAUGCUGAUCUUGGAUGCAUCACACUCCACCUUGAACAUGUUAUCAAUCAAUUAGUGCUAAGAUGGGUGCUUACUUCAUUAACUCUUCCAAUUUAUGAAAGCUCCUCUCAAUGUUGGACAUCCAAAUGAACUUUCUUUGCCUUAUGUAAUCCGUGAUGGGGGUAACAAUGGAGGAGAAUUUUUUGAUGAAGCACCAAUAAAAUGAUGCAAGGACAUGGAAGCUCCAGACAACAUGGAUGUUUCGACAAGUUGGCCAUUCUUUGAUGGCUCUGACCUUCACUUUGUCGGUUUGGAUUUCAUCUUUAGAUAUGACAUAUUAUAAGAAGAUCAAUUUGCGCACCAUCUGUGAACACUUGUUGAAAUUAACAUAUAGUUUCGUUUGAUGUAAGGGUCCAAACACCUGUCUCAAGUACUCAAUAUGCUUGCAAGAAUUGCAAUUAUAUAGUAGUUUGUCAUCAAAAUAUACAACUACAAAAUCUUCUAAAAUAGGUUAAAAUACCUGGUUCAUGACUUGCAUGAACGUGUUCAAGACAUCAAAGAGACCCAAUGGCAUAAUAAGCCAUCUGUAAAGCCAAUCCUAUGUCUUAAACACAGUUUUCCACUCAAAAACUUAGAUAGAUUUCAAUUUGGUGACAAUCCGAGCAAUGGUCAAUCUUGGAGAAGAUAUGGGCUCCAACAAAGUGGUCUGACAUAUCAUCCAACUGAGGUAUGGAAAAAUUAUACUUCAUCAUGAUCUUAUUGAUGAAGUAGUUGUUCGUGCACAUUCUCUAGGUUCCCUCUUUCUGUAGAAUGAGUGGGGUAGGCACCCACAAGAACUUCACUCUCGUUGAUCAAGCAUUUUUGAAAAACUUGUUGACUUGCCUUUUUGUAGCUCCUCAUGCUCCUUUAGCACCACAUUAUAGUGUGCAAGAAGUUAUUACUAGGUACAAGGUCUAUUAAGUGCUGGUUGUCAUGCAUAGGGCCAAACCUUUGGGGAGCUCUUUAGGCGACAAAUCAUCAAUCUCCUCAAGAAGUGGCUUCACAUCAUCGGGUGUUGGAUUUACACUGGCCUCUUGUGGAUGACCACGUAAUGCAACUUGAGCCCUUGCUUUUAUUACGAAAGCUUUGGAUAGUAAGGAUACUCAGAUCCUCCUUAUUCCUUGAUAGGGAUUCCUCUUUCAUAGGUUGGAGAAGUGCCUUUACUCCAUCUUAAUGGAAAGAGUAUGUAUUGUGCCCUCCAUCAUGGAUCACCCUUUGAUUAUAUUGCCAAGGAUGACCUAAUAUUAUAUGGCAAGUAUCUAUCAUUGUUACAUCGCACCAUGCACUGUCAAUAUAAGUGUCACCAAUAGAGAAAUUGAUAAGCCAAUGUUUUGGAGAUGGUUAACCAAUUACCUUCUUAGGACCAAGAAAUUUCAUAUGGUCGGACAUACUUCUCUAAUUUUAGAUUGAGCUUGUUAAUUAAUGACUUCUUAAGAUACAAUAUUUUUGCAUGACUCACUAUCGAUGAUGACAUUACAAACAUGUCCACAAAUGAUUUCAAUGAGUGCCAAAUAUGUUGGUUUGAAGCCAAUCCUCUUCUUUGGCUUGAGAUGAAUAUAUCAUUUGCCACAAGAAUUGGCUUUGACCCUCCUGUUGCCAGCCAUCCCUGGGGAUCUAGUGAGGGAUUGAGGGACAAGAAGAGAAAGAUAGGGAGAAGAGAGGAAUAGAGAGGGAUCAAGCCUUCUAAGAGUUCAAGGUGAGAUGCUUAUCGGACGGGUUUUGGCUGUCUGUUGCCUGCCGCCAACUAUCCACAGUUCAUGUCGGAAUAGAGAGGAGAGUCUUGUUCAAAGAGAAAAGAGGCAAAUAGACAGUCUCAAUUGAAAUAUUAAUUCUCUAAUAUGAUGUGGAAGUUUUAUUCAGUUUGAAAACCUAUUAGUUUGCUCGAAUUCAAAGCAGUUCGAACAAGCUAGUUGCCAGUUCAACUGCAAUCUAAAGCAAAUCUCACAAAAUAUACUAGUUUUUAUGACAAUCAAGGUUUCUUAAAGGAUUGUUCAGAUCGGAUGCUAGACCAGUUAACGGCAACCGGUCGAUCCGGCCUAGAUUUUAAAACAUUACUCAUCACCAAAUACAGUACGGCUAGCAUGGAUUUUAAGGUCUCUCACGUAUGACAGAUAAAUCCGAAGCAAAAAAUUCUAAAACGGUAUCCGCCAUGCAGUCCACUGAAUCUGCACCCGGUGCCUACCAUUUUGGGCAUCUCAAAGAUUAGUAUAUAUUUAAUGUUAGAUAUUGACGCUGCACAACAUGGAAGUAUGGAUAAUAAAAUGGACAGUGUGUUUGGAGAUAUGCUUAAGCUGACGGUUUAAAUCUUUAUACGCUAAGAACGCGACUCUAGGAUUUAUUAUUUGGUUAAGCCUUACUGAGGAGUUCUUUAGUUCUAGUGUUUCUUUUAUAGCUUAGCUAAAGGCAGUGAUUCCAUUUGAAGAACCUAAUUUGAUUUGUUAAUGGUGUGAGGGUGCUUAUCUUCUGAAAAGAAGGCAACAAAGUGGGCAGGACCGGGUUGCUUUCUCAGAACGCAGUGGGCAAAAAGAGGCUCUUUAAUUAGUGGUACGUCACUUCUAUAAUCCCACGUAGUGACCGAGAGGACCUGAUAACAGUGCACAGAUCUGAAAACAGUACUCACAGAGGGCCUUGUUCUGCGCUUUUUCUUCCACUACUCUAUUUCAGAUUGAGAUGACUACGAUUUUCAGGGAACUAGAACUUUAUAUUUGCAUAUUUAAGAAAUUUAGAUGCUCAUGUACUGAGUAUGUGAGUAAAAGUUGGAAAUGUGACUUGGAAUGUCUAUGCAUGCACAUUAAGAAAAGAAGAAACCUUUGAAGAUUUAUAGCAGGAAAUUAAAGAGAGCAGAGAUUGAACAUAUGAUUCUUACUGCUCUAAAGUCUAAAUCUUCCCUUGAUAAAAGCAUAUCUUAUCGACUAGUCUUGGCAUCUACCUCUGAAUUUCGUUGUGUUUGCUGAUUGCAAGGCAUAUCUUUUAAAAAUCUUGAGAGUCGAAUUAAAGAAAAGAAAAGAAAAAUGCUCAAUUAUGGGUCUAAAUCUACUAGGCCAUCAUGGCUCCUAAGAUAACUGGAGACAUCAGAUGCAACUUUUCACUUUGAGCAGAUCCGAAACUAAACUCCAAAGGGUAAGAAAAAUCUAAGAGAAUCUUCUUCAUGGAUUGACAAGAGAUAACUUGUCAAUUAGAUGCCAAAAUAGCAGAUUGGCAUCAAAUGCUAAUUUGUAUGGUGUCUUAUCAUCAAGUUGAUUUCUUUAAUGAUUACACAUCUGAAUAUUUCUAAUAACAACCCCAUCCUAGACAAAUAUGCAAAUCUAGUACUAACUAACAAUGGACCUGAAACUGAAUCAGUGGUGCUAGUGUCAAACUAGAAGUAGCACUUAGAAAACAACUUAUGGAUGUAAGUUGAUGUUACAUUAAUGAUGGUCGGUUGGAUGCUUAUUGGCUCAGCAAUAAUUGGUGUGAUGCCAAAGAGGCUGGCUUUAUCUACGUCCAAAAGCUAUAUGGCAUUAUCUACUCAAAAGGAACAACCAGGGGUAUACUUCUCCAUUAACAAGGGAAUUGUAUUCUUAAAGUAAUUCAAUCUAGUUAAGUGUUUUGCCUAAACUUUUUGAGUGCUAUGACUAAGGCUUAAUUAGUUUAUUCUACUGUUAGGAUGUGAAUGUAAACCUUUUUUUCGUUUUUUUGGCUGAGUUCGUAGGGUUUGAGUUGCAUCUUUUGCAUGAAAGAACGAUUGAUCUUCUUUCAUGACGUCGAUCGUUGGAUCGCAUCCCACAUGGAUCUUCCAGUAUUCUAAACUACGAGACACUAUCCAUGCAAAUACGAACCAACUCAGCUCGGAAUUUCUCCUGUUGAACACAACUAUCAAUGUAGACUUGUUUGUACAUGAAAUAACAAUUUUGAUCACAAGUGAGAACUAUGAUCCAGAAUUGGGUUGAACUUGAGGCUAAGUUCCAAGGAGUUAGGCCUGGCCCAGAUAAAUCUAAACUAUAACAUGGGCCGGGACAGACCAGAGAUCCGACCCAAUUUAAGUCUCGAUCGACAGACGGAUGUGAUGUCUCCGAGAUCUAAUCUAGCUAUCUAAGAUUGAACAAGGAAACGGAAAGAUGGUAUAUGCUGUCACCCAAAGCGUCUCAUCCGUCCUCGUCCCCGCCGAUCAUUUCGAUCUCCUUUCCCACCUCCAACCUCGGAGAGAGCGUUGAAAUUGAUCAAGUUGGUGCCUUUUUUUCUCUCAUCUUCGAAUCCGAUGGCGAAGCUGGAGUUCUUGAAGAGGGAAGGACUUCUUCCCGUUUUCCAUGUUCGAUUCUCGAAAAGGUCUCUGUCUCUUUUUUUCCUUUUUUUUUUGGUGUAUCAGAUAAUAAUUGUUAUGUUUCUUUUUUUGUGUUCUAUUAAUUUGAGUUAUAUUAGUAGCCAGAAUGGAUUUUUCAGAUCUAUGAUUAUAAAUUUACUAUUUGCUGUCUAUUUAAUGUUUAUUUUGUUGUGCGAUGUUGUUUUUUUUUUUUUUUUGGUUGACUUGAUUAUUUUUUGGGGAAAUAAACACGAGGCAGUCAAGUCCUGCGGCAGUUGAUUGAAAGAAAGAUUCAUAUUAGAGAGAUUGGCUAGCAAGGCAAGGAUUUGAUUUGUGUCCUUUUCUUUCAAUAUGAUCAGUGAUAACAAAAGAGUAACAUUUGAGAACUUGUUUGGUUUCUGUAGCAAAAAUGUAGGUAAGAUCUUAUACUCUGCAGUAAAAGUGCAUUCCUUUUGAGAUCAUGUUAAGCUGCUAUAAAAUAAAAAAUUAAAAAAAAAUCCCCGGGAAAAGAAAAGGCUUUGUAGUUAUGUGCACCCAAAUUUGGUUGUUGUCAUGUAAAAUAGUUUCCUUGUAUUAUGUGAUGUGCCGACAUAGGUCAGAAUCAAACAACUAGAUGUAAUCACUACAGGAAUAGUAACUUUUGCCGGUGUUUUACAUUAAUGUCAUCCAAGAAAGCAAAGAAAUACAAUAAGAAAGGGUAAAACUUGUCCAGUCAGAUAAUUUGACACAAGGACACAUUUGUGAAGAAAAGAUUUUAAAAAUAAAAUCAGCACAAAAGAACAUUGAAGCGAGUUCUAGCUAAAGAAACGCGCAUGAAAUGCUUCUCGAGAGUGCGAGAGAGAAAAAAAAGAUCAAGGAAUGCUUGAAGAGGGGGAGGAGGAUGGAAUGAUUAUAGCAAUUGUAAGCUAGAAAGGUGAUCAAGUCAUCCUUGCUGCCCAAAAUUCACAUAAGAGACAUAAAACAUGUCAAUAAAGCUGAUUGAAGGGCUCUAGCUGAAGUUGGCUCCUUCUUUCGUUACACAAUGCUAGGGAAAGAUGUUUUGACAUUCUAAGACAAUAGCAAGAACAUUAGAUUGACACAUAGACAUGUGAUUAAUUGAAUUCUUCAUAUAAUAACCUCAUGUAGCCAUAUCAAAGGAACUAGCAAGAAGGGUUGAAGGAACUGAAUGCAAAAAUUAAGACAAUAUUGAUUUGCUAUCUCUCGCGACCAAAUUUCAAUGCUAAAUGAAGAUCAAGUCUGCAACAUAAUAAUAACUUUGAUAGAGUAAUUUAAUUUACUACGAAAUAAGGUAACGAUGCAAUCUAUAGGAAUAAUAGCUGAAAAUAUUAGGAACAGUCUGCCAUCUUCUAGUCAACAGUAAACACUAAAUCAUAAUCUGUAGGUUGUGUUCACCAAGAAAUGAAAACUUUUACAGACACAUGGUCCUAAGUAACAGUAAGGUUUUAGUGACUAAUAGCCAACUUCGCUGUAAGAGAUUCCAGGUCCUUAUCUCUCAUCUCAAUCAUUCAUAAAUUAUCUACCAGAGAGCGUUUAAGUCUCGAAGCCUUGGUGAGAUAAACAUCAUCAAACAGUGAAAGAAUAGCGGAAAACCAACCGCCAGCGGCACCUCCAGAAUAUUUGAGACCAAAAUCUCCAUCUUGGAUUCACCCCGUCGAACUAUUUCAAUCCGAUAGGUAGGCUUCCACUUCUGCUUCGUAUCUCUUCCUGUGGAGUUUAAGAGAUCGAUAACGAUAAUAGUACCACACUGUUGGCCCCAUAAAAUAUGGAUAUUGCAAGAGUGAAACUUGUGAAUGAAUUUAUAUUAUGAAGAGUAUUUUUUUUUUUUGAUAGAAUUACAAAGAAUAUUUGAUAUCCUCAAGUGCUAAUUAAUGUAAUUAAAUAAGUAGUAAAAAUACAUAACAAAUAUUAUUUAUUGUGGUCUAAAUACGAACAUAUCA
rnacentral:lncRNA from 1 species